ACGCCGAAGCCGCCGGCCAAGGGGCCCAAGCCGGAGAAGCCCCCGACCAAGGGCCACGGCCACAAGCCGGAGAAGCCGCCCAAGGAGCACAAGCCGACUCCGCCCACCUACACCCCGAGCCCCAAGCCCACGCCGCCGCCGGCUACUCCCAAGCCGACGCCGCCCACCUACACGCCGAGCCCUAAGCCCAAGUCGCCGGUCUACCCUCCCCCGCCGAAAGCCAGUACUCCUCCGACCUACACCCCGAGCCCCAAGCCUCCGGCGACCAAGCCGCCUACCUACCCGACCCCCAAGCCACCAGCUACCAAGCCUCCGACACCUCCUGUGUACACUCCGAGCCCCAAACCACCGGUUACAAAGCCUCCUACACCCAAGCCGACCCCGCCGGUGUACACGCCGAACCCCAAGCCACCGGUUACCAAGCCUCCGACACACACGCCGAGCCCCAAGCCUCCGACAUCCAAGCCGACUCCGCCGGUGUACACACCGAGCCCCAAGCCACCGAAGCCGUCCCCGCCGACGUACACGCCGACCCCGAAGCCACCGGCUACCAAGCCGCCCACCUCAACUCCGACGCACCCUAAGCCGACGCCGCACACGCCUAUCCCCAAGCCCACGCCGCCAACCUACAAGCCGGCACCGAAGCCGACGCCGCCGGCGCCCACCCCGCCGACAUACACGCCGCCGGUGUCGCACACCCCCAGCUCGCCGCCGCCGCCGCCGCCGCCGCCUUACUACUAGACGAAGAAGUGAUGAGGUCUCCCACUCUGCUGUCAGUCUCGGAGCAUUUAGGUACGUGCUACAAGAAUGGAGCAUGCACAUACAUACAUACAUACAUACAUUUUCUAUAUAUGCUUGUGUCAAAUGUAUCAUACUGUACUCACUAACAAUCGGUUCCGUUUUUUUGUGUUGCAGAAGGUGAUCGAUCGAAGAGUUUGUGUCCUAGCCAGCCGGCCAAGAUGAGCUGCUGAUGAUGAUGAGAGGCGAGGAGCGAGUCGUACCCCUCCCUCCUCUGUGGUGUGCUGCCGGCCGAUCCAUGCAUCAUCCCCAGCUGCAGGAGAAAAAAUAAUGCAGAGCUCUGCUGCUCCGUCUGUUUCCUGUCCUCCCGUGUGUUAGUUUUUGUGUGUUCGUCCAUGUGUUAGCAGGUGUAUUUGUGUGGGUAAUGGUAUUGCAACUAUUGGUGUAAAACCAUAAUAAAAUGUGGAAAUAUAUGCAAGGAAAAAGCUUGUUCUAGUUCUUUUUUUUUGGGUAUCUUCUGCAGUCUGUCGCAGGCUCGCUGCACCGUAUGGCCUUGAGUCCUCUCGAUGCUACUGUAGCUCUUUCCAUCGAUGACGUGACUAGAUGUGUGGUCACACUGACACCUCUACAGUAAGGCCUUGUUUAGUUCUUAAAAAUUUUUAAGAUUUUCCGUCAUAUCGAAUCUUUGGUCGCAUGUAUGGAGCAUUAAAUAUAGACAAAAAUAAAAACUAACUGCACAGUUUACCUGUAAUUUGUGAGAUGAAUCUUUUGAGCCUAGUUACUCCGUGAUUGGACAAUGUUUGUCAAAUAAAAACAAAAUGCUAUAGUACCAAAAACAAAAAAUUUUGCAAACUAAACAAGCCUAAAAAGAUCGGCCAAGGUCGCGGCAAGCAUGUUGCAUGCAUGCAUGCAAUGCAAGUCUGCGGCUGCGGCGACGUGAGGUGUCGUCACGCGCUGCGACUACGGUCUCGCUCGACGCGACGAAGCCGUACCCAUACCCAUACCCAGACACACACGGGCCAUCCCCAUCCCAUCCCCCGGCCCGGCUCUGCAGACCACCGAUUGCCCAAACAUCCUAGGGAGUAGGGAUGGAAGGAUGCAUCCACCCAUGUGUGUAGAGCUAAAGCAGGACAAAACCGAGAUGCUUGCCGCAAUGCCGCGUCUUCAAAAACCAAAUGCGGUUCGUGGUCGUUAUUAGGCCAUCAUAUUAAAUCUUUCGGUAAAUACAUUAAGUAUUAAAUAUAAAUAUAUAUAAAAACUAAUUACACAGUUUGUCUAUAAAUCGGUAGACAAAUCUUUUAAGUCUAGUUACUUCAUAAUUGGACAAUAUUUGUCAAAUAAAAACGAAAAUAUUAUAUUUGCGAAAUCUAAAAAAAAUUUAGACCUAGUACUACUGGUGAAAGGCAAGGAGCCAAGACAAGAACACUGGUGUAUUUUUAACUGCGGCCUUGUUUAGUUCACCCUGAAAACCAAAAAGUUUUUAAGAUUCCCCGUCACAUCGAAUCUUGUGGCACAUGCAUGAAACAUUAAAUAUAGACGAAAAUAAAAACUAGUUACACAGUUUAGCUGUAAAUCACGAGACGAAUCUUUUGAUCCUAGUUAGUCCAUGAUUAAAUAAUAUUUGUCACAAACAAACGAAAGUGCUACAGUACCGAAAACUUUUCACUUUUCGGAACUAAACAAGGCCCCAACAAAGGGAACACUAGACAGUCGGUGAAUAAAAAAGAUGCUAUACUGACGCUGGUGUACGGCAUGGUAACUUUACCCAGUGGCCAUUGCUGUAAACCUGUAACCAUAUUUUUUUUACUUUCCGUGUUAAGGGCCUGUUUAGAUUGGGAACGAAAAUUUUUUGGGUGUCACAUCGGAUGUGUCGUAAGGAUGUCGGGAUGAGUUUCUAGAAACUAAUAAAAAAACAAAUUACACAAAUUUAUUAAGCAUAAUUAAUCUGUCAUUAGCAUAUGUGGGUUACUGUAGCACUUAAGGCUAAUCAUGGAGUAACUAGGCUUAAAAGAUUCGUCUCGCGAUUCUUAACUAAACUGUGUAAUUAGUUUAUUUUUUUAUCUACAUUUAAUGUUCCAUGCAUGUGUCUAAAGAUUCGAUGGGAUGGAUAAAAAAAUUUUGGAUAGAAAACUAAACAGGGCCUAAAAAGAAUUACCAGUACCCCGUACAUAUAACACAGUGCAUGACAUAAGGAGAUUAUGGAAUAAUGGGGGAUAUUAUCAGGACGGUCUAGUAGAUAUAUAAGGACAUAUGAUACCACAUUUUAGUAGGCGCUCACGGUCACGGUCGACUUGAGUUCACACGGAUGACACAUCAUUUUCUUUGUGGCGGUGUGGCCACAUGCGCAUGUCAGAGAUAAGAUAUAUAAGAGUUAGGCUUGUUUAGAUGUCUUUAAACUUUUAAAAAUUUAUAAAAUUUCUCGUUAUCUUGAAUCUUGCAACGUAUGUAUAAACCAUUAAAUAUAGAUAAAAAAUAAUUAAUUAUAUGAUUUAUCUGUAAUUCACGAGACGAUUUUUUUUAAGUCUAAUUAAAUUAUAAUUGGACAAUAUUUGUUAAAUAAAAACAAAAAAGUACUAUAAUAUCCAAAUCUAAAAAAAUAGAUCUACACAGACCCUUAAACCGGAGAAAAGAGCUUUGCCUUACCAUACCUCUCACCGCUCAGAAAAACAGGCAGGGCAAAUGGCAGGAACAUGCAAAAGUAGCGCGUCAAAAUGUAUAAAAGAUGAACCUAAAAUAAAUGAUUUGUUCAGUACGAAUAAUUUUGGUAUUUUGUUGGGGCAGUUCGACGUAUCAGAAGGGUUGAAAAUCAGAGUUACAAUGUGCGGGAAAUACUUUGGUAGCAAUGUGCACAACUACAGAUCGCGCGCAUAUAAACGUAGGUUUGCCUUUGCGUUCUGGGUUUUCGAUCGACCAAAAUGAGUUUACGGUGACCGCAGCGAGAAAACUUUACAAGAAAUGGCGCGCGUGAUCGCGGUGACAAAAGUAGUACCAGUACAUCCUGCAUGAGAAAAAGAGCAUGCUUUGAUUGGUGGUAACGUGGCUCUUGUCCUCCCUGUGCUGAACAUCGAUGAGAAAAAGCCGUAAAGGAGCUAGCCGUGUAGGGCUUCCCCAAUGGACACUAAUAUGAACAUAGGCCUCAGACUAAAGUAACAUGCCAUACAGGUUGAGCUACCAAAACUUCCAAUGCAGACUACAAGUCAUUAGGUGCUCUGGCCUGACCUAGAAAGUUGCGUCACUUUUCCUUUCUCUCUGUUAGUUUUCUCUCCACUUUCGUUCACAGAAAGUUGUGUUCCGAAAGAUGGAGGCUUCAGCUCCGCAACGCAUUCUCGGAUUGUGGCUUGCCGCAUUCUCGGAUUGUGGCUUGCCGCUUUUGUCAGACGAAGCCAUCGACUCCUCUAGAAGCCUCUCUGACACCCUGCGGCGGGAUACUGAAGCCGAUGAUCUGGACGCUCGGUGCUUACCUAGACGACGGGGCAGUACGCCACAGUGGAGCGAUGGGGAAGCCCUAAGUGUCCUGCCCGGAAGCUCACGCCAUAGAAUAGGACAGUUGAAUUAAUUAAGACGAAGACCUUUCAAAAAGAUAAACCCAAUGACCUGUGCUUUUUUACCCAAUUCUCUGAGGUAUAAAAUGCAUGUGUGUUUUUUUGUUUUUAGAAGUACUGCACACAGCGCGCUUAAGCGUAUCGAUAGAGAUUUGGUGGUCUAGUAGGUACAGCACACUGACCGCAACCUCCCACGCAUCUUGUAAGGAAGGUACCACUGCCCUAGCAUGUUCGGUUGUCUAAAAAAUUAUGAUUAAAAAUAUUAUUCACUAAUUUGUUAUAGGUUGAUAAGCUCAAGAGAACAGACUCUUAAUCUCGCUUUAUAUUGAUUUUUUUUUCGCGAUCGGAGGGUUAGCCCAUUUUUCAUUAAGCGGAAGGUAACAACAUGUUACAAAAGUUAGGCGAAGGCGAAAGACCAACACCAGUAACGAAGCCUAGCUAGGCCUUGUUUAGUUCCCAAAAAAUUUUGCAAAAUUUUUCAGAUUUUCCGUCACAUCGAAUCUUUAGACGUAUGCAUAGAGUAUUAAAUAUAGACGAAAAUAAAAACUAAUUGCACAGUUUGUUCGGAAUUGACGAGACGAAUCUUUUCAGCCUAGUUAGACUAUGAUUAGACAAUAUUUGUCAAAUACAAACGAAAGUGCUACGGUGUCGAUUACCUAAAAUUUUGUAGAACUAAACAAGGCCUACUGGAAACCAAAAUGCAAAUUACAAAGAACCCAAGAACUGCGACCAAGCUGAAGCCGACAUUGAGAUCAAGUGAAACCCUACCAAAGCCCAGUCGCUCGCAUCCAUGGCCACCGCCUUGCAGAUAUCUGUGGCGUCGCUGACCAAAGAGCAUUCAAAGGUUACUGAGUUCCUCUCCUUCCAAAGAGUCCAAGCUACAAGCAGGAACAUGGAGUGGAAGAAUGGUUGCGCCGCCGAGUCGAUUGAAUCCUGUUGUUCAACAAUUUGAUUAGAACCAUAUGUGGUUCUUUUCCAACCCAUGUGUUAGUGAUUCCUGUACGUAGUGCUUGUAUGCCUUCCCCUAGAUAAAAUACCAGGACCUUCCUUUCUUCUUUCCUAGUACGAAGAGGAACAGGUGUCGUCUGCCUGUAAAACUUUUCAUUUUUAUCGCUGCGUUCUGCUGAUUUCGUGGUUAGUACCCGUCUUUGACCGUGGCCUCCCAUGCAUGAUAAACGCACAGCUGUCCUUAAUUAAUUAGUUUUGCUUCGCAUUGAAUGAAUCGUAUUACUAGGUCAACAGCAUACAGUAUUUUAAAACUUUCUUGUGAUGUGGUUCUUUCCAAACUAUGUAUUCAGUGCUUGCAUGCCUAAGAAAAGAUACCAGAACAGCCUUCUUUCCGGUGUCAUUAUAUGGUUAGUUCACCCAAAAACUAAAAAAAUUUUAAGAUUCUUUGUCAUAUCAAAUCUUGCGCCCAUGUAUGAAGCACUAAAUAUAGACGAAAAACAAAAACUAAUCGAACAGUUUGCCUGUAAAUCGCGAGACAAAUCUUUUGAUCAUAAUUAGUCCAUGAUUAGACAAUAUUUGCCACAAACAAACGAAAAUGCUACAGUGAUAAAAUCAAAAAACUUUUGCCGGAAAAGUCAGAAAUGACCUUGCGGGUUCAACGGCUUGUUGUUCCCGGAAAAGUCAGAAAUAAAAUGGCUGGCCAAUUUGUGAAUGAAGUUCGUAAAAAAAAAAUCAGCGAUCCUAGGUCUGUGGAGGAAUAGAUUAGGAGUACUGUUUAACACGUACUGAUUGACCGAUUCGUUGUGAGUUGGUAACAUGGUAGGUACUGUAGCUCCUAGACUCCUAGUAGUAUUAGAGGAGAAAGAAGAUAAUAAUGUCACCCCUAAAGAUGGUGUGCUUUAUAUAUACACUAGUCAUCAGAUAGGCCUAACUUGGAUCGACGACGAGCAGCUAAAUUUAGUAUAGAAUAUGUAGAGUGUAGCUAGAUCGACAAAAGAAAAAAAAAUAAAGACGUAAUUGCGUGGAAACAGCAGAUGAAAGAGUGCGCUCGGUAAUGAACUAAAUGGCCGGUUUGGUUGGCAGUGCUUACAGAGGCCAAGGACGGAGAGCAGCCGAGAGCUCCAUACGCUAGUAGGCUACUGUACAGGGUUUGUGGGAAAAAAAAAACCCUCCGUCGGUCAGUCGUCGGAGCCCCACCACGGUUCCGAGACGACGGAGAGUGGCUGGGGCCGGCCGGCCACGGGGAGCACGGGUGAGAAGGAUCGAGAAAAAGGCCAGGACCAGGACGGGUGCAGGGGCAGGAAACACGCGAGCCACACACAAGAAACAAGCGGGCGAUACCUGCAGAGCUAGCGGUGGAUCGGGGCCACGACAACGGGGGUUGGGGGCUGGGGCUUUGACCCUCCCCUCCCGGGAGGAUCGGAUCGGAUCGGAGGGAGGGACGCAUCGCAUCCCGACACCAGACACCACCGGCACCGGGGGCUCCAUCGACGGACGCGCGGCGCGGGUGAGGAAGGAGAGGACAGGCGGACGCGACCAGGAAACAGCACGCGCGCGAGUGCAAUGCGGAGAAUGAAACGAGCGCGCCGUGGAUGGCGGAGAAGCCGACAACUCGGCCACGGGGACGGGGACGGGGACGUGCCUCCGCCGCUCCCCACCUCUUCUCCAUCCGCGGCGCCUUCCUUGCUAGGGGAAGGGGAGCUGCGUGACUUGUCCACACAUGUACCAGUGUUUCAGCUUGCUUUGUAUUUUUUUUUUUUUUUGCGAACGGUUUCAGCUUUGUAGUUGUAGCCACGACGGCCUGCCUCCACUGUACACCCCCAGCAUUUUUGAUAGUAGUACCGGAGUACAUACAGUACAUGUGAUCAUUUUAGUUUUGUCUUUAAUUUCCUUGCUUUUAUUUUUGCAUCCAUCUCGUAUACUACUGCUACUGCUUGAAGACUUGCAGUUUCCCAUCCCGGCCCAGUGCGAACAUGCAAUCAUUGGCCCGCGCAGGGACACACGGUCGGACGGGCCACACCAGAGGCGAGCAGUGCCGCCGCGUGCACACGGCGUGCCGAGAUGCUCAUCAAUCAUCAUGACUACCGGAGUUCUCCACUGCUACCGACCCAAUGACGAUUCACAACAGUACCAUGCACCGUGCACUACCGUACCACACCAAGUUUCGGAAUCGUCCAUAUUUCUAAUAACAGAUACAUCGGACGUGUGUGUAUGGACACCUCCCUCCCACAUGCAAAAAGCUAGCGUUACGGGAAAUUAGAAAUACACAAGACGUUCCAGAUCGGAUCCAACCUAAAGCACUACACGCAUUGCCUUUCCGAUCGACGACUGACCAUGCCAUUGCAGACAAUGCCGCCCAUGCCGGAACCGUCUCCCUGUCUAGCUUCGCCUAACGUUCAAACUCUAGCUAGCCAUCUCAUGCUGCGCACAUGCCACCAAUAAAGCAUACUACUACGUGCUAGCGGUGUGUUUUACUACAGCUGCCCUCUAGCUAGGCAUGAGCAUGGAUUGCAUGCGCGGCACAAUCAGAAGAAAUUAAGGGAGUGGGCAGCCGGUGCACGGAUAAAAACGGAUCGGAUCGGAGCGGAUAAUAGCUUUCUUAUAUCCUAAUUCUUUUUUCUUGAUUGUUGGAUUCAGAGCGGAUCGGAUAUCAUGCGGAUUCGGAUACGAAUACGGAAUGUCGGAAAUGGUACAAUCUAUCGGACCGGUAUCAGAGCGGAAGCGGACUUUAAAAUCGGAUAAUAUGUGCUUACAUGUUGUUUCUUAUGAUGAGAAACAAUUCAUUAACUAAAGUCAUAAAACGGUUGUGCAACAUAAAAUAAUCACUAUCAAUCCAGCACUUCGAUCUAAGGUCUCAAAAUUUAAUACAAGUUAGCCGUUUGAAUUUAAGAGUAGAAAAAAAUAUGUGAAAUAAGUAAAUAUUCUUAAUUAGGCAAAACUUUGUCUUCACUCUUUGCCUUCUAAUAGUUCUUCAUUUUGGUAAAAUUAUUUCAUUAGACAAGCUUUGUUAUGGGCUAUAAUAUAAUAAUGCUUGUGUCAUGGGCUAUGUUGACUUAUAUUCUUUUUCACUUGUGCUCUAACUCUAACAUGAACUUACAUAUAAUGAUUCUAAAAAUAUCCAAGCAUCAAAAUAUAAAAAAGGUUCAUCUUCUUCCUCCUGCCUCCAUCCGCGAUACUUGCAAGGACCGUGACUGGCCGGGAGUGUGAGAGGGAGGGAGGUAUGGGGUGCAAGAGGGUGGAGGGCGCCGAUCAUGGUGGGGCUUGAGUGGGGGUGCAGUCGUGAACUCAAGUGGGGGCGGAUCAUGCGGUUAUGCUUAGGUGGGGCAUGCAUGCUUGUUGUGGUGGGGGUGGGAGUGGCGGUGAAGCCGAUCCCGGGAGCAAUGACACAAUGCAUGGACAGAGGAGCGAGUGGGGACGAAAAAAUAGAAUGGGAUACAACAAUCGGUAUCUUGUGUAAUAAGUAGCAGUGGUGGGUAUUUUUUUUCUCAAACCUCACCAAACUUUAAGUUUUCAUAGCACCCUUUGAGCUGCUCCAUGAAAUACAUGGAUCUAAGGGUAGAUCCAUGGUUUUUGUGAAGCUUCUUUAUAUGGUGGAUUAUAGUGUGGAUGUAGAAGUGUUUGGCUAGAAAAGGUGGAUCUAUAGAUGUUUUUGUGGAUCUAAAGAUGCUAGAGCUCUUCCAAACAGGCCCCAUGACAUCUCUAGAGAUCCAUCACUAAUAGAUGAGAGUCAAACCUUUUUCAGAGAGCAAAAGAUAGAUAAGACUAGUACAGGGAAGGGCUUUAGCCCCAGGCCGUAAGGGCCUUUAGUCCCGGCUACGGAACCGGGGCUAAGGUUUCGGGACUAAAUGUCCCACCUUUAGUCCCGGUUCCACGGACCACCUUUAGUCCCAGUUGGUAACAGCAAUAAUGUCGUCAGGCUCCAACUGUUCUUCUUCACCUUCUUCCAUCAUUAUCCCGUUUUCUCCAUGCUUGGUCCAACAAACAUAGUUUGGCAUAAAACCCGACUUCAACAAAUGUGAGCGAAUAUUUCUAGAGCUAGAAUAUUCCUUUAAAUUCUGACACAAGGCACAUGGGCAACAUAUGAAUCUGUCCCGCUUGUUUUCCUCGGCCACUCUUAAGAAAUAAUGCACACCAUCAAUGAAUUCUUUGGAGCGGCGAUCGACAUUGUACAUCCAAUGACGUGUCCUUGUCUGCAUUGCAACGUAAAGUAUUAUACUUUUCUAAUUUUUUAUACAAAAAUUAAAGUAACAAAUAACCUAAAAUUCUCUAUUUCUAGUUUUUCUAAACCAGCAAAAUUAAAAAGACAUAAAAGUUCUCUAUUUUCUAACUAAUCAUGAAAUGUGGCAUGCAUACUAGUUAUAAUUAACUAAUUAACCAUGUCAUAAAUUGCAAAUUAAAUAAAUAUAAGUUUCUAAUUUUUAAUAGAGAAAUUAAAGUAACAAAAAACCUAAAAUUCUUUAUUUCUAAUUUUUCUAAACAAGCAAAAUUAAAAAAGCACAAAAGUUCUCUAUGUUUCUAACUAAUCAUGAAAUGUGGUAUGCAUACUAGUUAUAAUUAACUAAUUAAUCUUGUCAUAAAUUGCAAAUUAAAGUAUUAUAAGUUUCUAAUUUUUAAUAGAGAAAUUAAAGUAACAAAAAACCUAAAAUUCUCUAUUUCUAAUUUCUCUAAACAAGCAAAAUUAAAAAAGCACAAAAAUUCUCUAUUUUCCUAAAUAAUCAUGAAAUGUGGUAUACAUACUAGUUAUAAUUAACUAAUUAAAUCGAUCAAAAAUAGCAAAUUAAAGUAUUAUAUGUUUUUAAUUUUUUUCUAAACUAAUUAAAAUAAAAAAUAUAUUAUCACUAUUUCUCUAAAAAAACGUGUCGAUGUUGAAAAGACGAUGAAGCUAAUAACCUCUUAAAAAACCAUAAAAUAAAAAACAACAUACAUAACACUAGGAAAUGACAUAUGCCGCUGCUAAAUGUUGAGAAGAUGAAGCUAGUGACCUCUUAACAAGUCGAUGACGGCGUAGAAAUGAUGAAAUGAAUCAAUAGCCGGAGAUGAGAGCAAGAACAAGCAACUCCAAAUGAAGAACACAGCAAAAGAGUGAAGAUCGAUAGACUCGGCCAGGGGAAGAAGAGUUCAAAUAUGGGGAAUGACAUUUAGUCCGGGUUCUAUUUAAAAACCGGGUCUAAAUUCCAACAUUAGUCCCGGCCGGUGAGACGACCGGGACAACAGCUUUUAAUCCCGGUUGGUGGUAGCAACCGGGACUAAAGGCUAGGCUUUUGUCCCGGUUCGUGAGACCAACCGGGACUAAAGGUUUCUUCUGCCGAUCUCUGACACCAUAGCCGUUGGGCAGGAGACUUUUAGUUCCGGUUGGUGAGUCAACCAGGACUAAAUAUGUUUUUGUUCCGGACGCUGAUUGGGCCGAGAUUAUUGUUCAUUUUGGGCAAGUGACCAAAGGCCUGUUCUGUACUAGUGUAACGAGUCAAAUUGUUUUAGGAUGAAUUUUUUUUCAGCGUAUCUAUAUAUGAUGGAUUUGCAAUGCUUAAUUAGGAGUUAGGACUUGCAGUGAAUCAGAACUCAGUAAUAAUGAAACUAAACUAGAGUAAAUAAAACGACACGAUUGCACACAGCACAAGUCAAAUGUACAGUGCGGAUGUGGAACGGCAAGGCCAAUUUUGUCAGACGACGCACCCAAAAAGGUUUAUUCCUGCCGGACUGCCGACGACGGAGUAACUAUCAGCCACUCGACCGUUCUCCCCGUCCACAAAAUUCUUGGGUCCAGAAUCCAGAUAUCGCAAGGUCUCCAAAGCCCACUCGGUGAAGUUUGGUCCAAACACACCUGCAGCAGCACAGCCAAGACCGAUGGAUAUAGGUCCAGAGCCCAUUAAACUCUCCCCUACCCAUUCAGUUCAGGGGUAGAGAACCUGUCAAAUCUUUUGAAACAAUAGAAUCUGUCAAAAUCUAACCGGUCGCUCAAGAUACUCCCCGGCAAAUCCAAGUCUGAUAACCAUAUCUUAUCUGAAUAUGGGUACAGCGUUUUUCCAUUGGUAUUCUCAAAUUUCGUCGGGGUCUGGCAAGCCGUAGCUUCGUCUCUGCUUCAUGCUUCUGAAUGAGUGAAAACAGUCUAAAUGGAUGCAGGUCCUCUAAAAACGAAAGCGUUUAAUUGGUUGUAUAUCUAGAUGCAGUAAUGUGUAUCUGUGGAUGAAUCACUUUGUAAAAUCCAAAUCAUGUAUCUCCAAAGCCAGGUUUAACGUUCAUUUCAUCAUCACUUUGAAGAGACAAGACUUGCUAAUUGAUGUGCACUCAGCCGUGAAUUUUGCUAAUAAAGUGCCUGCAUGCUUCGAGGUCCAAGAACACGGCAUUUGCGGCCCCGUCGUCCCCGUGAAGCACGGCCCAGUCAAACGCUCGCACAUUCUUGGGAUAGAUAGAUAGCCCUCGAUCGGCAGUUUGUCCACCAGCAGCACCCAACCCAAGAUAAUGGGAUUGGUAACAUCAAACUCAAGAUUCAAACGUCCAUGGCCACUAUAUAAGGCGCGAAAUGGACGAGCAUCAGAGGCAAGCCAAAACCCACAGGCAUGGGCACCAGCACCACCACGAACAUGAAGGGCAUCGCCCUCCUUGUUGCUCUUGCCGCCGCUGCCUUCUCCUCGUGCUGCAGCGCUGCGUCGUCUCCCUCUGCCUUCCCACCGGUAGAAGCACCGGCGGCUCAUGAGCCCUAUGCGGAGGCGCCGCUGGCUGCACACCCUGGUUCUGAGCACGGGAAGCACCACCACCAUGAGUCGGUAGCGCCGGUUGAGCCACCGUCGUACCACGGCUCGCCUAACCACAAACAUCAUGGCCACCAUGGCCAUCACCACCACCACCACCAUGCAGCUCCACCAAGCCCUUCCCCGGCUCAUCAGCCUCCACCGCCCCCAGCUCAUUAUGCACCGCCGCCUCAUUUUCCAUCUCCUCCUGCACACCGUGCACCACCGCCUCCGGCUCACUACGCACCGCCACCUCAUUUUCCAUCUCCUCCUGCACACCAUGCACCACCACCUCCUGCUCACUAUGCACCGCCACCUCAUUUCCCUGCACACCAUGCACCACCACCCCCAACUCACUACACACCGCCGCCGCAUUUUCCAUCUCCUCCUGCACACCAUGCACCACCACCCUCAAAUCACCACACACCGCCGCCUCAUUUUCCACCUCCUACUCACCAUUCACCGCCGCCUCAUUUUCCACCCCCCGCUCACCCUUCACCACCGCCUCCGGCUCACCAUGUACCACCGCCUCAUUUUUCACCUCCCGCUCAUCAUGCUCCACCGCCUUAUUCUCCACCCCACGGUCAUUAUUCUCCACCACCCCCAGCUCACCACUUCCUGCCCCCGCCUCCAGCUCGCUACCCGCCGCAUGUUUCGCCACCUCCAACACACAAAUAUCCACCACCACCGUCGCCUUCUCAUGGUAAGGCACCACCACCACGUGGCCACAGGAAAUUCCCGCCACCAUCUCCAUCAAUGUAUUCAACUAUAGCACCCUCACCGGCAAAUUAUAAUGCUCUCUCACCAUCUGAGCAAGGUCCCAAGAUCCCAUAUCAUGUUGCCCCGAGUAAUGCACCUAUGCCAUGAAGUCAAGAUGGAGCAUCGCCUCCGUGGUAUUUUUGAUGCGAAGGUCAAGAUAAACACUACCUAAGUAAGAUUGCAGUUCAACUUUCAGCAAGAGAUCAAAAGCUCAAUAGCUACUUCGGAAAGAGUCCCUUUUUUCUUAUCAUACUUUAUCAUGUCCAAUCAAAAUGUUAUUGAAUAAAUUAUGUAAUCCAUUUGGACCAUGUUGUCGAUGAAGUCUUAUAUCAAAAUGUCUCUUCAUCCUUUUGUGUUUAUGUUAUGGAACCCAUAUUAUAUAAAUUGUCCCUGUCCAUAAUACUAAUUGUACGCCCCUCAACUUCUACUAAUUGACAUUAGUUAGUUCAAGCUAACCAACAUGAAUUAUUAGAAAUAAAAAAACUCGACCGAGGCGGUUAAGAUUGCCGUCGUAGUUUUCAAAUUAAGAAGAAAGUGUCUUCUUACCUGGAACCCCUCCAGUGCUUUGGUUUGAGGACGAAUGAUGGAUUUUUUAAAACCCAGCUUAAAAUUUGCACCCAUUGGGAUUCGAACUCAGGCCUGGGAGGUGCACCGGAGUGCUUAGACCAACUAAUCUAGCAUCCUUUGGCUGAAUUAUUAAAAAUAGGAGGUAAUAUAUAAUUAUCGUCUAAUUUAUCAAAUCAUUUUUUAUGUCCUCUCAAGGUCAGUGGUGCAAUGAGAUGUACUCCCUCCGUCCCAGAAAUACAUGACAUUAUGGGAUACUUGCUGGUUAAACGUUCUUAACUUUGACUAGAUUUAUAGAAAAUACGUGCAAUAUUUAUAUCUCUAAUUAAAUUUAUUAUGAUAAUAUAUUUAAUGAUCUAUCUAAUGAUACUAAUUAUAUAUUAUAAAUAUUAAUAUUCUUUUAUAUAUAAUUAGUUAAAAUUAGAAAAAGUUGACUUCUCGUGAAACGAGAAUGAGAGUAACCUUUAACGGUUUCAUUGUAGCUAUUAUGGCAUCUCAUAUCAUAUAUACUAGCUGGUUGGAUUACGAAGCACAAGUACAAGAAGAAAAAUGUUUCAAACAAAUUGUAUCUUCUGCUUUAGGCCUUGUUUAGUUCUCAAAAAAAUUUAAGAUUUUCCAUCACAUUGAAUCUUUAGACGCAUGUAUGAAACAUUAAAUAUAGAUUAAAGAAUAACUAAUUAUACAAUUUGUCUAUAAUUUGUGAGAUGAAUUUUUAGAGACUAGUUAGUCCAUAGUUAAACAAUAAUUAUCAAAUACAAACAUAAGUGCUACAGUAGCCAGCCCAAAAUUUUCGCGAACUAAACAAGUCCUUAUUAGCCAAUUACAAUGAAACUUGUAUUGAACUACAUCUCCUUUCACCAAAAAGGUCUUUGUUCCUAAAAAGACCACUGAAACUCAAUGAAGAUUAACCAACAAAUAGUUGUGUGUUUACUUUCACCAUCAGCAAACAAUAUGUUCGCUUGAACUUAUCAGCCGAAUCUGUUAGCCGUUCAGCAAUGUUUUUCUCUUAAAAAAAUCAGCUAACAGCGGACCAUCGAUAAGUUGAUGGUCAGUGUUCCGGGCUGUUGUUGGGCCUGGCAACUACCAUGCCUUUUGUCAUUAGGACCUCAGCCGGGGACCUUUUCUUUGAUGGGUUGUUUCGCCUAUUGAGAAUUGCAUCUCUCUAAAUUUUUCUUAAAAUUAAAUCUUAGAGACAUAUUUGGUGGUUAAAAAAUCCCUACCAUGUAUUUAUUAGAUUUUUUAACGAAAAAUUGAAUAAAAUCACCUUGAAAACUACUUCUAAGUCGUAUAUAAAGGUAAUUAAAGGACAUAAGGUAACUUAAAUAGUUUUAUAAGAGUUUAAGUCCAAAAUUCAACGACAAGAUUUUUUGGUUUCUUCUUUGAGCAACACAAGAAUUUUUGGUUGCUGGGCCUUCACCAGAUAUCCUCUGCUGGGCUUUGUCUGUGUCUCAGCAGGCCCGCCGGUUCGACGAAUCGUGCAAACUUCCAAGUGCCAAGCCGACCAGCCACAAGCCCACAGGCCACAGCCCCACAUUGUGGAGGCGGCGGCGGAGCCUUCUGCCUUCGCCGGAGAGGAACUGGAGCCGCCGAGGUGACGAGGUGGUUGGUGGUGGAACUUGCAAGGGGCGAAGGAGGCCGACGCAGCCGACAUGGUCAUGGGGGGAGAGGGAGGUCGGCGUCCUCGCGGCGCGGUGUUGCCGCUGCCUUGUCGCCUCGUCGGUAGCACCAAGCGCCACCUCGUUGAGCUCGCGUCAGCCUCCCUUCACUUCCUCCUGAGAUCCUCUGUAGGCUUAGCAAGCUAGUAUUAUCGAGGCACACUGUGGUUGAAAAUUAGAAUUGUUGUCAAGUGUUACAGUCAAUUCAAUUAGGGCAAAUUUAGAAUAUCCCAUUCUGGUGAGGCAGAGUGGCACAUAAGCAUCCAUUAUCAUGUUUAACAGAAACAUCUCUUGUGCAUAUUGGACCUUUAGCUGUCCUGAGUAUCUGUGAGUUGUGUCCUAGGACUAAUUUGAGCCCUUUUUAGAUCCCUGUUGGCAAAUUCUAUUGUAGAUACAGGUGAGAAGUGGCGGUGCCAUUUUGAGGUCUAAAUGUCCAAAAUGGCUAGUUAUUUGUGACCUUCAGUGCCAUCUAGAUUAUUUUGAAGCCAAUAACUUUAGUAUAAUGCAUGCAGCUCCACCUACCACUAACAGCAUAAAAGGUAAUCUAUCUGUCAGAUAAGAUCAGGAUCCCACAAUCAACUAGAUGUUGCUUUCGCCUUUACCUUGAUUCAACAUGUUUUUAUCAGUCAUAGUCUCAUAGAAGGAGCCAAUAAUCAAGAAAGGUGUGAAUCUCUUGAUACCAUCGUUAAUCAUACUUUGGUCUUUGGUACCUUGUACUUGUAGCUGAUAUAGUUCUCUGAUUUAUGAAAUGUAUGCUAGCUUGCUUCGGUAAAUUGUUCUUCAAGAAACCUUUGCUAAAAUUCAUGAGGUAAUAUUCAAUUUGUUGAAUUGUAAUAACUAAGGCUGAUGUUCAUCAUACAAAUGGUGUGAAGAUGCUCAGACAUUGGGCUAGAAAAGGUAUGCUGCAUCAUAAAACCAGACCUCUUCCUCUCCCUAUCUUUGUGUGCCUUAUCUGCAGACUGCAGUGACAAAAUUGGGGACCAGAGUUAGCAUAAAGUGAUAUAAGCUUAUCACACUUUAUUUUACCUGUGAUGUGAGUCACACCUGAAUAUUUAAAUGUCACCUUUUUCUAGAAGUGUGUAUGUGAGGUAUGAAUUCACCCAAUCUAUAUAUAAAGAGUUAAUUGUUCUGGUAAUUGUUUCAGAUUAAAUAAAUAUGGUAUGCGAUCUUGACUUCUUGCCUCCAUUGAUAUCUGUACUGUUCUUUUUUAUAUUUCUGUCUGAGCUCUUAUGUCUUAUCUUCAGAUUAUUCUUGAGGAAAGUAUUGGAUUGAAAAAAUGCUGUUACUAGGAAAACACUUUGCAUAUGGUACUUAGUUAUUCUAGAUCAAUCUGUAAAAUCUUGUGUUAGAGCAACUCCACCAGUUGAUUGAAACCAAUCCUAUUUCCCUAUAACCAGCAAUAGAGGGGUCAGAGUAAAAAAUGAGCUCCAUCAGAUCCUCUUUCUAAACCCCUUUCCCCAUUUUUUUUUCUCAGCUCCUCAAAAUCUCUCUCUCUCUCUCUCUCUCUCUCUCUCUCUCUCUCUGAUAUCCGGGUGCUGACACUGCAUCUCUGCAAAGACCGGGCGAGCUGGCAUGCGGGCUGCCACGCCGCGCAGAGUUCUGCGCCACCCAGCCUUGGGCAGGCCGCCGCUACACGCCCUGCGCUGCACUGCUCCCCGCACUGGGCAAGCUGCAUCUGCAGUCAGAGGAGAAGAGAGAAACUGGAGAUGAGAUGAAGAGAUAUUUGUUCAGACACAUGGGUUCCACCUAUAACAUCGAUGAGUGUUUCUCAGUCUGCUAGAGCACAUAUCCCCUGUACUAUUUAAUUCAGUGCAUGUAUGCACUUUCAACUGAAUUCUGGCUUGCUGUAUGGUAUCUGAUGGCUAGAUCACUGUAAAGGCGGCAGCAGCAGUCCUGAACACAUUACUGGGUCGCUUGAUUUUGGACAGGCAGUAGAUGAGAAUUGGCAAGUGAGAGAGUUUGGCCUUGCUGACCUUUUCUAUUCGGUACUGUCAGAGCUCAGAAGUCUUUUUUCAAUAUUAAUAUGGAUGUAAAAACACACUGUUUCAGAAAAAAAAAGUAGUGUAAAGACCUAAUCAACCUUUAUGACUUUUAUCAUCUGCAUUAUCUAUUGAGAUUGUCAACUCUUUUCUUAGUUUUGUAGUAUUUUAAAGGUUUUCCCAUCUUGUUGUGAAAUAUGAACUUUACAUAUGAAUUUAUCGACGCACCCUUUUCUCUUUCUUCCCUCACUUACCAACUUAUCCUACAUUCUCUAUCAUUUAGUAGAUAUUUAUAGCAAAGGUAUCAGGGUCAUUUUCUCUCAUUUUUUGGAUUUCACCUUGUUAAUACUUGUGGCUAUGUUGCGCAGGAGUGCAGGCAAGGCAGAAAUGGCCAGAAGCAUUCCUGUAACUAUGCAAGUAAAUUUUUCUUGAGCUUUUUCUGACUGAGUAAUCUGGAAGCACCACUGAUCAGUAGCCAUACCUUUUAUUCUGUUUUUAUUUCUUUUUCCUGGUUUGCUUUAAUCACUUUUUGUUGAACGAAUGCUCUCUCUCCUGCUGACUAAGUUGAUAAGGUAUUAAACCCUGCUUGUAACUUAAGAGUGACUAGAUAGAUCUAAGGCUCCAAAGCAGAAAGUGAUGGGUUGAGAUAAGGUUAACUAUGGAUAGCCUGGAAUAGUCAUAUGACUCCCACGUAGACGUCUACAACUUCACACUGAAGAUGCAUUGGGCAAAUGCAUGGUUCAAUCAAGGAGUUCGUUGUGCAUAUCCGAAACAGGGACCAUUUUAUAUUUUAAACAUUUUACAGAGCUCAUAUGAUUGUGUUGCUCUCUGCACAUGAGCAUACAACUAGAAAUUGCAUCAUGACUGAUAAGAGGCUAUAUGUUUGUCAGAGAACUGUUGUGACAACCAUUGGUUCAAAUUGAAAUAGAAGUGCUUCGCCAUGUUAUUGAAUCCUCAUCAAAGCAACCAUAGCUGUUAAGUCCACUUGUCUAAAGAAAAGUACUUCCUCAAUUUCAUUUUUAAUGGGGCUACCGAAUCAGCCAUAGUCCCUGGGAACAUGAAACCAUGCCGUGUUCAUCGUCCUAUGGAUGUCUUUCCUGUUUGAAGAACACAGGAGCAAUCUCGUCCCCACCUUGUGGCUUGUCAAAAUCUUCCUGGGAACUUGGUGACUGUGAUCAAUCCUUUCCAUGCUACACCGAUAAAUGAGUUCUCAAUAUGUAAUUGACUUUGCUCCAGCUGAGCUUGUGUAUGUAGGCACCAUGUUAAAGAAGCAUUCAGCUUUGUUUAGGAAGCAACACUCAUAGUUUAUAUAAUGCUCCAUAGAUAACAUGCUUAACAUAUUUUUUGUGCCUAAAUUGCUUUUUGUCGACUAACCACUCAUUCAAGGGGUGCUGCACCUAGUAGGAUGUUGUUGAUAGCCCAAGCAGUCUUAAGCUAACAUAUCAGACUCCAAUUUGCUAGAUUGCUUUUGGUCCACACAAAGUGGACAGGAUCAAAACAGAGCAACAAAGGAUAAACAUAUGCUUUGUGAGUGCGCAACGAAUAUAUAGCUGCUCCAUUUCCUUUGUGUUUAAGCUUAGAUGAUUGCUUUUCCCUUUUUUUUAGUAUUAGCUGCAGUCUUAUCUUUCUUGUAGCUAUAAGUUAAAUAAUGUCGCUGUGGUCUUUGGCUAUAUACUUUAGUCCAAGUUGCCAUCGAUCAGCUUACACAUGAAUCGAGUUAAUUCAAAUUGAUUGACUUAUUCAGCAUGUUCUUUUUCCGCAGUUAGGAGUCUUGUUUGCAUAAAACAAAGAGGAAUUGCACCGAGUGAUAGGUAUUUAUAUUUCUCUUUUACUUAGCUCGAUAAAUAUGACUCCGUAUUAUAGAGAUAAAUUUAAUGCCAAAAAGUGAACAAUGUUUGGUGCCACAUCAUUUCACUUUGCAGGCGUUGUGAGUAUGACGUGUCUUUGCAUGGACCAGCACGUGACUCAGUUCUUGUGAAGUCAUGAAUCCACCAACAGAGGUCAAAUAGCUGACUGCAGCCAGAAUGUUUGCAGCCGCACAUGAUGAUCCUUAAAAUAUUUACAGCCAUCCAGCAUAACCUUAGAGCUGGUUUGAAGAGGAUGCAACCGAUGCAGCUACCCAAAUGGUCAGUAUAUGUUUACCCUUUUAAAAUCGCCAUUUUCCUUUUCCUGACAAAUCUGAGUUGUAGUCUCCACGCUUUGCAUAUGUACUUCUUAGGCCUUGUUUAGUUCAACCCAAAAACCAAAAACUUUUCAAGAUUCCCCGUCACAUCGAAUCUUGCGGCAUAUGCAUGGAGCACUAAAUAUAAACGAAAAUAAAAACUAAUUGCACAGUUUACCUGUAAAUCACGAGAUGAAUCUUUUAAGCCUAGUUACUCUAUGAUUGGACAAUGUUUGUCAAAUAAAAACAAAAGUGCUACCGUUCCGAAAACCAAAAAGUUUUCGGAACUAAACAAGGCCUUAUACAUUAUUAUCAGGCAGACAAGAGAUUGUGCUGUGUGUGGCCCUCUGAUUCCCAAAAACCCACUGAGAUGCAGUCCACUUGCACAAGCAAGGAAGCUUCCAAUUGUGCACAUUCCAACCUUUGCCAAAUGCUUUUUUGUCUCAAUUGGCUGGCAGAGACGAAAGGGACAAGGGCAAAAGAGGCAGCAUUUCAUAUACCAAAUAAAAUAAUCCACAUACUAUAUUAUUGCAGCCUCAAAGAGCCUAUAAAUACUUCAGCGCAGACCCAGUUUAUGAUUCUACAUGAGGCAGACUAAAAACAAGAACAUACCUACGCAACUAGUAGAGAUUUGCACUUGCAGGACUCUGAAGAAAGCUGGGUUUGUGCACAAGGACAUGGAGUACCCAAGAAGGACACUGCUGCACACUCCAUUCUCUGGGCAUCCCUCUAGUCCAAGCCACCCAUUAGAUGGAGCCGCGGCCACAGAUAGUGGGGCUCCAGGAAGCAACUUCGAUGCAAACAUCGUCAUGAUCCUGGCUGUUCUUCUGUGUGCACUGAUCUGCGCUCUUGGGCUCAACUCCAUCGUUCGGUGUGCACUGCGGUGCUCGAGCCAGAUAGUGGUGGGCCCUGAACCAAACCAGGCGACGCGGCUUGCUCAGAGCGGGAUGAGGAGGAAGGCCCUCCGAGCCAUGCCGAUCCUGGUCUACUCGGCUGGGCUGAAGCUCAAUGCUGCUAACCCGAUGUGCGCAAUCUGCCUGUCAGACUUUGAGGCAGGGGAGCAUGUCAGGGUCCUCCCCAAAUGCAAGCAUGGCUUCCAUGUCCGGUGCAUCGACCGGUGGCUGCUGGCGCGGUCAACAUGCCCAACAUGUCGGCAGUCCCUGUCUAGAGUGCAGCAAAAAGCCUCUGGCUGCUCUGAGGCAAGCCGGGCCGAGCCAGAGCCUGCAUCUGCUCGCCCUGUCCUUGUGCCGCUCAGACCUGAAGGUUUGGUAACUCCUUAUGAUUUUUAGAAUGUUCAGUUGCUUCUUAAUUGUUACAUAAAGGUCGAGAAAAGGUAGAAACAAAAAAUUGUGCUCAUUAGAUCUUAAUGCCAGUCUGGUUUGUACAUUGUUGCUGGACAAAAGAUGUAAAGAUUUUUCUAGUUUUUGACUUGAUGUGUCAGUGCCGAUUGUUGCUGGAGAAUGUGCCAUGGACAAUACCAGUUGCUCUGGUGGGCCUUUUUGUGAAUCACCGUUUCAAUGUGAGUUUGUAAAAUGUAAAAAGAAGAGACAUGAUUGGCCGGUCUAAUCAUAUGGCAGUGCUGCACGACCACUAUGGUGAUUGGAGAUCAAGCUUUAGCUGCUACUUCAGAUUUCAGUGGGAACGGCAUAUUCUAUGCCAUUAUGAAGAGGUCCGGGGUUCAGCAGGGCUUGUGAUAUGCUUUGCUUCAAGGCCAUGGUUUUAGAUUUUUAUUAGUGGUCAUCAUGUAUGCACCCGCAGAAUUGAGAGGUGAGCCCACACCCAACUAUACCUGAUGCACAUUGGCUAAUUGUUUGCUAUUUUGUUCGUGCCAUCGUGUGAAUUGAUGUGAGGCCAACAGAAGAAUUGAUAGGCCAAUGAUAGAAGCUCAUGUGCUGUGUCAAAUUGCUAUUGCUCAUGAUAUUUUUCUCUUGUUUUUUGCUCUAAAGGCUAAAGCGAUUAAGCUAGUGCCUUUGGAGAUAGCUGGUUUAGCUAUGUGGCUAUCGUAUCUGUUGCUUUGAAAAUCAACAAGAACUUUGGUUUGUGCUCGCCGAGAAAGAAACUGCCCGGAUGCCCACUCAUAAGAAAGAUACGCUUGUGUGUGUGUUUUCAGAACUUAAACGGCUAUUUGGCUCGGGAAUCUUCAGAAUGAUAACAAUGUUUCCACUAUGUUGUUAUUAUCAAGAAUUCAGGAAUAGUGCUACAGCUAUUCGAAGAGGUCCCGUUUGCCGGAUAUAUUGACGGCACUUUUAAAGAAAUCUGGCAACAGCAUCAGCUCUUUAUUCGCCAAACUAUCCAAGUUUAUGCCAUUUUCAACUCAAUCGUCGAUGUUACGCUGUCAUACCUGUACUCUGUUUUUUUAUUAACGUUUGUUCAGCAAGUUGACAUAAGUUUUCGACGAAAUCUUAUACUAUUCUGCUUGCCAAUUUGUGGCCAAAACAGUUAUUUCUAAAAUAUCUGGGUUGGACCUGAGAAAUUUCUAAAAUACUGCCUCUUUCUAAAAUGCAAAUUGUUUUGAUUUUUCUAGGUAAAAUAGCUUAUGUUAUAUAGAUAUACAUUGUCUAGAUAUAGUAAAUUGAGAUAUCUAGAAAAGCUAAAAAUAACUUAUAAUUUUAAAUGGAGGGGAGUAGCUGAGAGACGAGAUGUAAACAUUUUCACGACACAAUUCAUUCAACAGCAGCAUUGUUUAUUUGUUUUAUUGUUGGCCACAACUUCUCCAAGCUUCACCUUUGUACUCCCUCUGUCUAGGAAAAAAAUAUACAAUUUUAACACAGUGUCAUGGUUUAGUAUCCUAAGUUUGAUUAAUUAUAAAUAAAAAAAUUAUCAAUAUUUAUUGAUAUCAAACAAAUAUCUUAGAUUCCUUACGAAAUGUAUUUCCAUAAUAAAUUAUUUUGGAGUCAUAAAUAUGAAUAAGAUUCACUAGAAAUUUGGUCAAAUAUGAAUUACUUUUACUGGCACUCAACUUAACGGAGUAUUAUAGAACACAUGCAAAAAAAAACAGCUUACAAGUACCCGUAGGCCAUAGCUCUGCAUCCACAUAUUUAUGGAGCUAGAAAUAUCGAAUUCCAAAAAAAUAAAUAAGAAAAAACCCACAAAUGUUUUAGAGUUAGUUAGACCUCUUUUCAAACGAGACUAUUUGGACAAAGAUAAAAGGAUGCAAAUCCAAUCCCCAAUGGUGUUUCCGUGCCGCAUUUUUCAUCUGCGAACUCAAAGGCAUCAUCAUCCGGCGAAAGCGAGUUGAUGCGGCGCUAAAUUUACAGGACGCCCAUCACUCCACGCCUCCACGGGCGAGGUCAGAUCAUGCCGAAAGAUGAGCUGAUCAGGAGUAGGAGUAGGUAACUGGAACUUCAAGAAGCUGUAUAUAUCAUGGCAGGCACGCCAGAUGACUGAUUUAGGCCUUGUUUAGAUGCACUCAAAAACUCAAAACUUUACAAAAUUCUCAAUCAUAUCGAAUCUUACGGCACUUGUAUGGAACAUUAAAUCACACUAUAAAAGAGCGAGUUUUUUGAGAGAUGCUCUCUCUCUAAUAACCGUUCGAUCUGAAUUUCGUGUUAUAUGAGCCUUUCAUCAUACGUGAUCUUACAUAUCUGAAUUUCGUGUUAUAUGAGCCUUUCAUCAUAUGUGAUCUUACAUCUUAUACGUAUAAAAUAUAAACGUCUACAACUCAAUCUCGCAUCACGCACAUACAAUCCUAAAUGGACUCUAUGAUCUGUCUAUUCUUGUGUCACGACUCCACGACUCCCUCUAUUCCCACGUCAACACGUGAAGAAAAAAGAAAUUUGAUCUUUCAAGAUAGAACUUCCUCGUGCAUGUGUGCACUUCAAAAUUAAUAAUAAUAAUAAUAAUAAUAAUAAUAAUAAUAAUAAUAAUAAUAAUAAUAAUAAUAAUAAUAAUAAUAAUAAUAAUAAUAAUAAUAAUAAUAGUAAUAAUAGUAGUAGUAAUAAUAAUAGUAGUAAUAAUAAUAGUAAUAAUAAUAGUAAUAAUAAUAAUAACAAUAAUAAUAAUAACAAUAAUAAUUUCUCCUAGACUCCUCGUAGACCAAGAUUUUUCCUAGACUCCAAAAAGGACCGUUUGAUCUUGACACCGUUUUUGGCCUAGUUCAGUUGGCAAAAACUUUUGGAAAACGACACUGAGCAUCCCCAACCGUUUUGCAAAUAAGCUUUGCAUUCAUGUAUUUGCAAAAAAGUCUUAAAAACACUUAUCCAACGGUUUGGCAUUUAGACUUUGCAAUUUUGUUAACUUGGCAAAAAAGAGGAAGGAUUGAUAUAUGCCAAACCUGUUCACACUUGGCAUUGAAAAAUUGGCGCGAAGUGAUUAAUACCAAACCAUUGGAGAUUGCCUCUUUUCACCUUUGCCAUAUUUUUUUGAGACUUGGCAAACUCCCUCAUUUGCCAAACCAAUUAUGCAAAACGGUUGGGGAUGCUCUAACACUUUCGUUUUUAUUUGACAAACAUUGUCUAAUUAUGGUGUAACUAGGUUUAAAAGAUUCGUCUCGCGAUUUACAGAUGAACUGUGCAAUUAGUUUUUGUUUUCAUAUAUAUUUAGUGCAGCAUGCAUGUGUCGUAAGAUUCGAUAUGAUAGAGAAUCUUAAAAAUUUUUGGGAACUAAACAAGGCCUUAUGUGAGCCUUUCGUCAUUUGAGAUCUUAUCACACAUAGCACACAACUCCUUCUCGGUCUCAAUUAGCACUUGACCGUGUCAUCUACACCGCAUAUGGUAGAGUUAAGGUAGAAUACGUAUAUAUAAGGAAGUAAAGUAGAAUACAUUAUAUGGAAGUAAAGUAAAUAAAGGCUGCUAACACGAAAUGUCCUCAUGUGGAUCGAUGAAGAAGAACAGAUCGGAAGCUCGUGGAGCCGGUCGUCGUCGUGUCCACUGGAGGCAGCAUGGUGUGACAGCACAGGGGCUGACGAGACAACAUGUGCGCAGUUGGGUCAGAGUUUUCAGGACUCGGCGGCUGGCUGGAGGCACGACGAGACUGUGCUCCCUUUGCCGAUCCCAUGGCAGCCGUGGUUUGAGAGGCUGGACGCGCGUCGAUCUAUGUCGCCGAGCCCCUCGCAUACCCCCAAGAGGCUGUCCCAAAGUGGCUUGUACCCGGUCCAGAGAUCCUACAGGCAAGAAGCUAAGCAGCAUUGCUUUUUGUAUGUAAGGCUCUUCAAGAUCAUCAGCACCGUAUCGGCCCAGGCAGCUCGUCGUGCGUCACAAGGUUCGUGAUAUUCACUGGACUCGAGGUAGAGACCGGUGACCAUGGCGAUCGGGAAGAGCUGGUGAAGCACACGUCCCUUCGAUACAACCUUGUCCCUUGCGCUUGCUCUUGUUCUGCACGCACGCGCCGUCUGGAGAUUCUCCGGUCCGGCCAAGUUGCGUUGAGCGCGCAGAGGCGCUCCGUGCCCACUACCUUCAAUUCCUCAAUUCCUCUCACACGCUUGCUUUUGCUUCAACAAGUUUGACCGACCGCUGCCCAGCCUCUAGACGGGCGAAUCGCUUGCUGUAGAUACCAAUUGUUGGAGCACAUUGCAAUCAACGAGCCCAACCAAAGUUCAAAGUUGUACGUGAGUCCUUCUCUUGUUAUUUUAAUACUUUUCAUUGAAAUUUAUAUUCCACCAGGAUCUCACUGUCAGCCUUUAUUCGACACUAGGUUGGGUAUUUUCUUUUCUAUUCUUAUUAGAUCUUCCUUAUGUCGCAAAUUGGUUAGAUAGGUUCUUUGCUUAUAUAUAUAAAAAAAUAUUUUUAUCUUAAUUAAGCCUAUGGACACAAUUGAUCUAAUUGUCGCCUUUACUGAUAUAUGCAUUGAGAAAUAAGAAAUGAAUAUUCAUGGAGUCUAAAUCUCUUUGAAGUUAAUGAUUUAGUCUUUCUAGCAUAAUAAUUAAUUGUAUAAUGAUGUUUUUAAAAAACACGUGCGUGUCGCACGUGCAUAAUUACUAGUAUAUAAAUAAAAAAUAUAACUAAUUGUAUAGUUUAUAUGUAAAUCACGAUACAAAUUUUUUAAAUCUAGUUACUGCAUGAUUGGACAAUGUUUGUCAAAUAAAAUUAAAAUUACUACAAUGUCAAAAUCUCAAAAGAAUUUUGAAUCUAAACAUUCCACGUCUCCUGAUCCUUCUGAUCCCAUGUGGUUGGUUCCCCGUUUCCAUGUCCACCACGGCAUGACACGUCCACGUUGUAGCCAUCCCAACUUUUAAGCAUGACCACUUAUUUUUAAUUUGCAUAGAUUAUAUAUGGGUGUGUUUAGAACCACUUAAAAUCUAAUUCUUGAUGAGAAUUAUCGAGAAUCCUUUCUAAAUGACUUGAUUCUUUCUUGAUUAGUAUCUAGUAGUUAAGCCGUGAAAUGAAUCAUGGAUUAAGGCCUUGUUUAGUUCCAACCAAAGACCAAAAACUUUUUAAGAUUUCUCGUCACAUCGAAUCUUGUGGCACACGCAUAGAACAUUAAAUAUAGAUAAAAAAUAACUAAUUACACAAUUUGCCUAUAAUUUGGAAGAUGAAUCUUUCGAGUCCAUAGUUAAACAAUAACGGCCAAAUAGAAACUACAGUGCUACAGUGAUGAAUUAUAUACCACGAGGGUUGAGCCAUGUUUUCCUACCGAAAACGUUUUUGCCUCUGGUGUCCUUCUCGCCUAUGCUCCCGCCCCAGCACGAUCGAUCAUGGAGGCGCUGCGCAUAGACUCGGGCCUAGGCGUAGGGCGAGGGUGCCACCGGCAUAGACGAGGUUGACGCAAUGACGCAUGGCUAGGAAGCGUAGAAGUGGAGGUGGAGUGAGGCCAAACAACUAUGCAGAUCCAGAUGUGACGAGAUAGAAAAAAAGGUAGAAGAGAUAAAGGUAGAUGUGACAUGUAGGGUCCAUACUGAUCGAUCUCCAGGUACACAUAUCGUUUUACAUUUAGGACUGAGAAUUAAUGCGAAAUAAUGAAGAUUGCCAAACACCCAAAAUUUUGCAAACCAUGGAUCUUUCAGGCAGUAGGUUAGAAAAAAAUCCUGACUAAAAUUAGAAAAAGUUCAUAUUAUCUCCCUCAACUUUUACGAAAAUCUGUUUUCACUCUCUGAACUCUAAAAUCGUGUAAACCAUCUCCUAAGAUUUUAAAACCAUUCAUUUUACCUCUUUAACUGGUUAUAAGCCGGUUUUCAAAGGCAAUUUUGUCUUUUAUUUAUUUCAGUUGAACCUUUGAAAAAUCAUAGUAAAUCACAGAAUUAUAAAAUGAAAAACCUAUUUUUUUUUGACUCCACAUCAUUAAAUAUUGAUGAAAACAAAAACUAAUUGUACAGUUUGCCUGUAAAUCGCGAGACAAAACUUUUAAGCCUAGUUACUCCACGAUUGGACAAUAUUUCUCAAAUAAAUGUUAAAAUCCAAAAAUCUUUUGGAUCUAAACAAAGCCUAAUUGCACACCUGUAAUUUGCGAGACAAAAUUUUUUUGAGCCUAAUUAAUUCAUGGUUAGACAAUAAUAGUCCGUGUAUCUUAGAAAUAAUUAUUCUUUGUUUGUUACAGUUGAGUUUCAUACAUAGCCAUCAUAAUUAAAAAAAAACUAGCAGGUUGGCGGUAGAUUUGUGUUGCAUAACACGUGAUUAGACUAACACGUAAUCAGAAGCUUGGUGUUUUUUCAUUUCCUUUUUUCCUAUACGCAGCUUGUAAUUUCCACUGUAUCAAUAAAAAAAUGAAUACCUUUAGUGCCGUUUUUUUUUUGUUAUUAAAAUGACAUGUGUUCACGCUUCACGGACCUCACGGUCGCUCUCGUCGGUCGGUCGCCUCGCCAACGAGGAAAAACUCUGGAGACAGAACACAUGAGACACCUUGUGGGGCUCACGAUCCACUCCAAGACCGUCUCCACCAAUGGCGUUGCACCAUCACCCCGUGACGUGGAUCGGCACCAGCAGCAGCGACAUCCACCGUCCAUUUCCAUCCGACGGCCGAGACGAGACCCCACCCACCCACCCUUUCCCCGCCUCGCCGCCUCGCCCAAAAUUUUCGCGAUCCCGCCUUGCUGCUGCCCGCUACAAAUACUCGCCCCGAAACACUUUCCCGCAUCCACAGCUGCGCACCCGCGUUCCCAUUUCGAAUCCUCCUCCAAUCUCCUCGCGCCGCCCACCGCAGCCCUCUCGCUCCGAUGGCCCGCACGAAGCAGACGGCGCGCAAGUCGACCGGCGGCAAGGCGCCGCGGAAGCAGCUGGCCACCAAGGCGGCACGCAAGUCGGCACCGGCCACGGGCGGCGUGAAGAAGCCGCACCGGUUCCGCCCCGGCACCGUCGCGCUCCGUGAGAUCCGCAAGUACCAGAAGAGCACGGAGCUGCUCAUCCGGAAGCUCCCCUUCCAGCGCCUCGUCCGGGAGAUCGCGCAGGACUUCAAGACGGACCUGCGGUUCCAGUCGUCGGCGGUGGCGGCGCUGCAGGAGGCCGCCGAGGCGUACCUGGUGGGGCUCUUCGAGGACACCAACCUCUGCGCCAUUCACGCCAAGAGGGUCACCAUCAUGCCCAAGGACAUCCAGCUCGCGCGCCGCAUCAGGGGCGAGAGGGCCUGAGCGCUGCUCCUGCCUGUUCUUUCGUUUGGUUUCUUGGUAGGAUGGAAGAGGAUGACUUUGUUGCCCUGCUAUGUUGUACUGAUGUUCUAGGCAAAUUGUUCUGGCUGUGAUGGAAUGUGGUUCAGUGGCUUGGUGUUGCAAGAUUUGUUGCCUGUGCUAUGCCACUUCAUGUGUUGGUUCCUGCAUUUGGUUUAUACUUUCGUGGAGCAAGAUUUAAAUCCGAGAUUAUGGGAUACUGAGUAUGUUGUUGGAUGUUGACUGACAAAGUUCAUAUUUUGAGUACCAUAUCUUUGUUUCUGUCGCGGGAGAAAACUGGUUGGACCGGCCAUUCCACUUCAUCCAAGAGGUGAGUCGGGCUUGCUGUUUUCUUCUUUACUUUUGACGUUUCCUAGAUCUCUGAACUAAGUCUAUGAUCUGUUGACUCGAUAUGAGUAUAUGAUGUUACAUGGGCGGAGUAGUUAAGAUAGCUGUUGAUAAGGUGUCUGGUUGCGAAAUUCAGGAACCAUGCUCAAUCUUUUUGAAGUAUUUUAUCUAAACUAGUAGGUUCCACAAAUUGUACCGAGGCCUUGUUUAGUUUCCACCAAAAUCUAAAAAAUUUUCAAUAUUCUCCGUCACAUCGAAUAUUGCGUUACAUGCAUAAAGCACUAAAUAUAAAUGAAAACAAAAACUAAUUACACAGUUUGUCUGUAAAUCGCGAGACGAAUCUUUUGACCUCAGUUAGUGUAUGAUUGGAUAAUAUUUGCUGCGAACAAACGAAAGUGCUACAGUAACGAAAUCCAAAAAAUUUUCGUAUCUAAACAAGGCCCGAAUUUGUGCCAUAGCCCAUAGGCAGGCUGGCCUGUCCCACACGAGUUUUACCCUUGGUCCUCUCACGGCACCUCAUACGAAUCUUUUGAGCAUAGUUAAUAUAUGAUUGAAAAUAUUAGUUACAUACAAACAAAAGUGCUACAGUGCCCAUUUUCUAAAAUUUUUGAACAACUUUAAUUAAAUAUAUAUUAGAAAAAUAUUAAUAUUUAUGUUAUAUAAUUAGGCCUUGUUUAGUUGGCAAAUUUUUUGUUUUUAGCUACUGUAGCACUUUCGUUUUUAUUUGACAAAUAUUGUCCAAUCACAGAGUAACUAGGCUCAAAAGAUUCAUCUCACAAAUUACAGAUAAACUGUACAAUUAGUUUUUAUUUUCGUCUAUAUUUAAUGCUCCAUGCAUGUGACCAAAGAUUUGAUGUGACGGGGAAUCUUAAAUUUUUUUGCAAACUAAACAAGGCCUUAGUAUCAUUAGAAAGAUCUUUGAAUUUAGUUUUUUAAUAAAUUUAUUUAGAGAUAAAAAUAUUGCACGUAUUUUCUAUAAAUCGAGUUUAAACUUAUAGCAUGCACACCAACAAUGACAGCUAUUAAGGAACAAAGAGAAUAUGUCGAAUCUAAUUACUAGAAAAAAAAACCAAAUUGCCUUAAUGGGUCAAUAUGAACUUUUUUUAGAAAGGAGAUUAACUCAGCUUUUAAGAAAGCGAAUAACAGAGUCUUUACAUAUUAGGGAUACCAGUUUAAAAAUGUAGUGAAAAAAAAGCAAAAACAAAAACAAAAACAAAAACAAACUCAGCAACUCGGCGGAACUUCAAACCUGGGAAGCAAACUUGCACCAAACCAAGCAACCAACCCUAGGACAAGAUCCUACCCCAUCGAAACUGAAGACACAAGUCUAAGGGUGUGUUUGGUUGGGCUGUGACUUUUGGAAAAACUACUGUGAGCUUUGAGCUUUUGAAAAGCUGCUGUGGGAUGUGGGUUUUGAAAAAUCCAAAAGUCAUUUGGUUGGUCACUUGUAACUUUUGGAAAAAAAACUGAACAGAUCCCAAAAGUUAGUGAAAGCAGGGGGUGAGUUGCUUUUGGAUUUGUACUACGAGAAAAGCUGCUUUUGGGCAAAAGCACUUGUGGCUUUUGGACCCUUUGGUUGGCUUUUGGCUUUUACAAAAGCAAAAGCAGGUUCAAAAGCCUAACCAAAGGGACCCUAAAUGACUGCAACAUCUGAAAAGGGUCUAACAAAAUAUUCUUUCUGCAACAUCCAGUCAGAUAAGGAUUGAACCAUCUCCUUUAUCUUGGUUUUGUUGUUCUCCCUUUGCAGGUCCACCCAUGUAUGCAGAAAAUUGACAGCCGAGUGAAUCAUGCAUCAGGUGUACUAGGGAACUGUUUCUCGAUGGACAUCUUAUUCCUAGGCCCUGUUUAGUUACUCACCUAAAAAUUUUUCAUCCAUCCCAUCGAAUCUUUGGACACAUGCAUGGAACAUUAAAUGUAGAUAAAAAAUAAACUAAUUACACAGUUUGGUUGAAAAUCGCGAGACAAAUCUUUUAAGCCUAGUUACGCCAUGAUUAGUCUUAAGUGCUACAGUAACCCAUAUGUGCUAAUAAUAGAUUAAUUAUACUUAAUAGAUUUGUCUUGCAGUUUUCUAACGAGCUAUGUAAUUUCUUUUUUUAUUAGUUUGUAAAAACCCUUCCCGACAUCCUUCCGACACAUCCGAUGUGACACCCAAAAAAUUUUCAACCUCAAUCUAAACAGGGCCCUAGGCUUUGGAGAUGAAAUUUUUUUUAUGUCACAUCGGAUGUGUCGGAAGGAUGUCGGGAGAAGUUCUUAGAAACUAAUAAAAAAAACAAAUUACAUAACUCGUCAGGAAACUGCAAGACAAAUCUAUUAAGUAUAACUAAUCUGUCAUUAGCACAUGUGGGUUACUGUAGCACUUAAGGCUAAUCAUGGAGUAACUAGGCUUAAAAGAUUCGUCUCGCGAUUUUCAACUAAACUGUGUAAUUAAUUUAUUUUUAUGUACAUUUAAUGUUCCAUGCAUGUGUCUAAAGAUUCGAUGAGAUGGAUGAAAAAAUUUUGGGUGGGAAACUAAACAGGGCCCUAUUCUUCCAGAUCACCAAAGCCACUCCUGCAAAAAAACGUGAAACAUAUAGUUUCUUAGGCAUCCGAAGCCUCCUUGGCAUCCAUCAGGAUAUCACAUCAUGUAUAGAUGUUGGAAAUUCAUGUAGAUUAAAAGCAUCCAUUAUGCAACUCCAAAUGUAUUGUGCAAAGACACACCUAAAAAAAAGAUGAUUGACCGUUUCAAUUUCAGGACAUAUACAGCAGAGAGGGCUCUCCUGCCAUCCCCGUUUUGUUAGAGAAAGAGCAGUUUGUAAUUUCCUAUGUAAAACUUGCCAAAGGAAGACCUUAACUUUUAAGGGUAUCCUACAUUUCCAAAUCAUAUAAGUUAACAUGUUCUUGACUCUCCCAUGAGUAAGACAAGUAUAUAGCGAUUAAGUUGAGAAAUUCCUUGAUUUUUUCAGAACUCAAUUAACUUCAUCAUCUCCUAGUCCAUCCAUACUCACAUCCUGUGCAGAUCAUUCCAUUCAUCAAGUAUAGCCCCAUGCAGACUUCUAAGAGGGAUAUCCCAUCCACUCUCAUUCCACAUACCCUUCACUGUAGCUUCUAGAUUUUGACAGAUUUUAAAAAAUUGUCUAUACUGUAUUUUCAAGGGAAGACCUCCAAACCAAGUAUCAUGCCAAAAACUAAUAGCUUCCCCUUUGUGAACAUUAUAUUCAGCACCCCAUUUAUACAAAUGCUUCACCUUAUGUAGGCCUUUCCAAAAUUGGGAAGUGCCCUGGAGGUCAAUAUGAACUAUUUAUCAUUAAUCCUACAAAAUAAAGUUACCCACGUGUAUCCUUGUACUCAUCAAUCACUGAACCCAGCACUAGAGGCCUCAAUUUGUUCAGAAUGCUGACUCUGCUCUUGAGUAUGUCUCAUGGCCUGAAGCUUACACUCGCAGAAGUGGCCAUGGCAGUGAGCAGUCAGCCAAUCACCAUUACUAGAGUGUGUGCGUGGGAAUUGUAAUAAAGGCUAACUGUUCCGAACUUUUUUACUUUAUAUAAAUUCCUGCAGGGGCUCACGCCCCUCCAGUUCUGUCAAAAAAAAAAAAUGUAAUAAAGGCAUGCUGCCUAAACUUUUCUUUUGGUCCAUAAAUAGUUUGCUCAACGCAUGUAUUGGAAUAGCAAAUAAAAACUGCAUUUUCCCCAGUCCAUUCGAGUACUGUCCUGCCGAGACAUCAGGACUCGUGGACGCGCUGUGCGGAUACCGCCGAGUGCGUAGCUAUCCUUAUCCUCUCCCAACAACUCCUCCCUCCCUUCACCGCCGCCGGUCCCCUGUCCUCCUCGGCGUCCUCGCCGGCGGCAGGACAGGAGGGCCGGCCCCCUGCAUCUCCUGCUCCCCUCUUCCUCUUCCUUGUAAGAUCCUCUAGCCAAAUAAAGCUUUGGAGAAAGAUGGAGAAGAAGAACUCAUCCGAGGUGUCACAGCAGAUCCAGGCGGCGCUGCUCCUCUGUAUCGGCGUAUCUGCCAUCUCCAGCGGCUCCGGGCAGCAUCAGCAGCAGCAACACGGAGGCACGGAGCAGCAGCUGCAGGUGGUGGCGCAGCCCGGGGAGCUGAGGAAGCAGACGCUCGCGCCCAAGCGGAGCUCCAACAAGGACCGCCACACCAAGGACGACGGCAGGGGUCGCCGGAUCCUGAUGCCCGCGCUGUGUGCUGCGCGGAUCUUCCAUCUCGCGCGGGGGCUCGGCCAGUCCGACGGCGAGACCGUGCAGUGGCUGCUGCAGAAGGCCGAGCCGGCCAUCGACGCCGCCACCGACACUGACACCAUCCCGUUCACGCCUUCGCCGUCCACUACAUCCUCUCCGCCCCCCACAUCGCCGCCUCCGUCGUCGACCCCGGCUCCAGCGACCUCCACUGCAUCCCUGUCCGUGUCGUUGUCCUUCUCCCCGGCGAAGUCCUCUGAGCAUCUCCAUCUUUUCUCCUUUUUAGUUUUUGUUUUUAUUUUUCUUUAUUUUCUUCUUUCGUACCUCACUUGCAUGGCUAUAGAUCUUCAUUCGGAUAGAGACUCUCGGCUCUCUCAUCCCUUUCUGAUUAGUGUAUGCAUAGUGUCUGUGGUCCUUGUUACCUUUGUUCCAAUCAGACAGCUACUUCUUCGGCGUUGGAUCGACGAUGCUGCCUUCGUCUAGGAUAUCGGUUCAAGCUUCUUCUUCCUCCGACAACGUCAACAACUUCAUCUUUCGGUUGCCGGAAUAUGUCUUCUUAGAUGGCUUAUCCGAUUCCCCUUCAACCGUCGCUUUGUGCGGUCAAUCCAUCCAGGUGCACGCGUCCUGGACGCCUCUGCGUAUUUCCCCCGCUGGCAUGCAAGUCGAUCUCGUCGCCUUAGUCGACGCUGCUGUCUUUAUUUCUGGUCUCUAGACCUCGUUGUAUCAAGGUUUCCCUUUGGGAACCUUCUUGUACUUCGUUUGGUUUAAUAUAUAUGUUAUGUUUUCGUCAAAAAAAAAGAGUACUGUCCUGCCUAUCUUUCCUAUUGAUUUUUCUUCUGAACAUUUGUUGCCCCGGUAUGCAUUUGUGUGCUGCAGUCUGGGUGUUCUGAUCCUGGGCUAAUUCCAACAUUCAUUACCCAGCCUCGUCCUCUUCCCUGACAAGGGGCCUAGAUCCCAGUCGAUCUGUCGCCCAUGCAACAUGCAAGGCUUCAGAAUCUGUUUGUUCCAUUCUUAAAACUUUUGUUCGAUUGUGCUUAGUGUGAGAGGCGGUCGAUGAGUAGCCACUCGGUCGUGUCACUUAGUGUGUGUGACUGGGAGAGGAGCUGCUUGGCGGCUGGAACUCGUCAAGUCAAGCUAAGUAGGCGACGACGGGGCUGGGGCUAGGCAGGGGCGUGAGGGAGACAGCAACCAUGAUAUAUAUCCUUUCAGAAUACUGCAAUCAUGUUUGUCAAACACAUCCUAAUCAUAUGUGCACCAAAUUUUUCCUAUAGGCAUUAGUAUUCUUAUGUGAGGGUAAGUUUAAUAUUUGCUUGCUGCCGGCGAGGACAUUCUUGACCGAAAAAAGAAUACCCCGAACAAUCUUUUAGAUCCAUGGUUUGAAAUGGGUGUAGUAGUUUUGUUCUCUUCUGACUGCCGGCCAAGCGAGUCCAUUCUGUUUUCCCAGUCAGUACUUGGACUCUCAGACUAUGAUUUAUUUCCUCUUACCAUCAAUUUCCACAUCUGUGCUACCACUAUAAGCGUGAUGACGAUUCCAUGUUCCGAAGAGUCAUAAAACAGCUGGCCGUCGUUGACCCCACAAGGUAAUGCAUGCUAUUUAUUGUCUAAUAAUCAUGCUAUCAAUUUACAAGAGGAAACCAAAAGAAAAAAGACAGACACAUUUUGUCAGAUACCGAACCAAAGGGCAAAAGGAUAGAUCUGACUGAUGACUAGCAUUGAUAAGAAAUGUUGCGCCAAAAGUUAUAAGAAGUUCCCGUUUGGUAGUGCUUCUUUGCAAACAGUGAGAAUCAAAAUCAACCAACCAUAUAUUGAUAUAUUCCAUCCUUCUAUAAUAUUUUACAUUCUAGCUAAUCCCACAUACUAAAAAGGAUCAAGGAGCAUUAAAAAGAGGAAAACUAUUCCUUCAUUGAGCUAUACAGUAACAGACAUAGGUAAUUUAGAUUUAGGGGUCACUUUAGACUAUGUUAAUAGAUAGCUACAAAAUGCUUCUAAAAACAGACAUAUUAUAUGGACAUUAUUGUCAAUGACGAUUAGGUCUACUGAAUGGAUGGCUGGGCAUUUUUUGUGAGAAUUUUCUUGGCACUUCUAAACUUCUUACAUGAUACAAUAAUUUGCCACUGAUUAUGUUGUAAUCAUGCAUGGAUCUUGAUGGUGGAACACGUCUCCAGGAUCAGAAGUGGUUUAUAAAAAGUUAUCCACCUUUAUUUGUCAUUAUGAAAAAACACAUAAAGUAAUCCUUUGCAUCUAAACUACCCACAUUUUUCAUUAUGAAAGGUAAAUUAAAAUAACACCCUAAAUUCAUAUGUAAAUUACUCAGCUUGCUAUUAUGAAAGAUAAUUUAAAAUAUCCCUCUCAAAUUUGUGUGUAGAUUACACACAUUUGCUAUUUAUGAGAUAAUUUAAAAGAAUCCCAGAAUUUAUACCUAAUUUACCCACCUCUAAAUUUGCAUUUAAAUUACCCAUCUCUGUUAUUAUAAAAAUAAUGCAAAGUAACCCCUAAAUUUAUAUGUAAGUUCAAACACAAUCAUUAAUGUGUCGUCCAAAUUGGAUUAAAAAAUCGACAAUUUUGUGAAGUAGUUUUCACUUCGUAUGUGAAUUGUGAAACCAUUAGUAGGAUGUGUACGUAUUGCCUGAUUGGUUAAGUUACAUUUGCUUCACCAAAGCAUGCAAACAUCGGUUGGGCAUAUAAAAUUGAGUAAUCUUAUAAUUACUUUCCUUGUCUUCUGAAGUCAAGCUGUCAAGCAACCGGGACUCCGGGAGCAGCAAGUAGCUGCAAUUUUGGUAAAAAAUGUGGACCUUUUAAGUUUUGUUUACCUCCGUGCAAGGGUAAAGAAAGAAUGGGAGGUGGACGGGGGCGCUUGGCGUGGGCUCCCUCAAUUUCUAUAAGAAAAACGACAUGGCCUCUUGCAUUCUGCAACUGCAAUGCGAUUCAACGUCCUAGCUAGCUUACACCAUCGCCACGGCGCUACCUUGCAAGCAAAUCAACUUCUCCCAUCGAUCUCCCAUCUUCCAAUCCACAUACUUCUCUCGCCAUGCAACUCCUCGUCGUUCUUUGUGAGUUCCUUUUGUCGCUGCACGCUCCUUCAUGCUCUGCGGCGACAGAUACACUCUCGCGCGGUGGCUCGCUGGCCGGAGACGAGAGGCUUGUCUCCAGCAACGGCAAGUUCGCGCUCGGCUUCUUCCAGACCAAUAACAGCAACAGUUCCACCAACACCACCUCCAACUCAUACCUUGGAAUAUGGUUCCACAAGGUCCCCAAGCUGACACCGGUGUGGAGCGCCAACGGGGAACCCGGUCUCCAAUCUUUCUUCACCGGAGCUCAUGAUCUCCGACGACGGCAACCUGGUCAUCAUAGCCCACGGCACCACCAUGGUCUGGUCUACCCAGGCCAACAUCACGGCGAACAGCACCGUCGCUGUUCUGCUGGCCGACGGGCGACGGGAACCUCGUCCUGCGGAGCUCCUCCAACUCCUCGGACGUGUUUUGGCAGAGCUUUGACUACCCAACUGACACCCUGCUACCCGGUGCAAAAUUGGGCAGAAACAAGGUCACCGGUCUGAACCGCCGUUUUGUUUCAAGAAGGAAUCUGAAUGACCAAGCUCCUGGUGUCUAUUCCAUUGGCCUAGCUCCUGGCCUUGAUGAGAGCAUGAGGCUGUCAUGGAAAUCAUCUACGGAGUAUUGGUCUUCUGGCGAGUGGAAUGGCAAUGGCGGAUACUUCAACGCAAUACCGGAGAUGUCGGAUCCCGCUUACUGCAAUUAUAUGUUUGUUAACAGUGACCAAGAGUUCUACUUCUCCUACACCUUGGUGAAUGAGAGCACAAUAUUUCAGGUUGUGUUAGAUGUCUCUGGUCAAUGGAAGGUGCGCGUAUGGGGCUGGGAUAGAAAUGAUUGGAUCACAUUCAGCUACUCUCCAAGAAGUCGAUGUGAUGUCUAUGCUGUCUGUGGAGCUUUCACGGUCUGCUCUAACAGCGCAAAUCCGUUGUGCUCCUGCAUGAAGGGCUUCUCUGUAAGAUCGCCUGAGGAUUGGGAACUGGAGGACAGGACUGGUGGGUGCAUCAGGAAUACUCCAUUGGAUUGCAACGACAGCAACAAACAUACAAGCAUGUCAAAAAAAUUCUAUCCUAUGCCAUUCAGUAGGCUGCCCAGUAACGGCAUAGGUAUACAGAAUGCCACAAGUGCAAAAUCAUGUGAGGGAUUUUGUUUGAGUAAUUGCUCUUGCACAGCGUAUUCCUACGGCCAAGGCGGUUGCUCCGUUUGGCACGACGAUCUAACCAAUGUAGCUGCUGAUGACAGUGGAGAAAUUCUCUACCUUCGUCUUGCUGCAAAAGAGGUGCAAAGUGGGAAAAACCAUAAACAUGGAAUGAUCAUCAGUGUUAGCGUUGCUGCGGGUGUAAGUACUCUCACCUUAGCGUUCAUCUUUCUAAUUGUGAUCUGGAGAAGCAGUAAGAGGUCUAGUCAUCGAGUGGACAAUGAUCAGGGUGGCAUUGGGAUCAUUGCAUUCAGGUAUAUUGAUAUAAAACGUGCAACUAACAAUUUCUGGGAGAAGUUAGGCACAGGUGGUUUCGGUUCUGUAUUUAAGGGGUGCCUGAGUGGCUCGGUUGCCAUAGCCGUGAAAAGGCUAGAUGGUGCCCACCAGGGAGAGAAGCAGUUCAGGUCUGAAGUGAGCUCAAUAGGCAUCAUCCAGCAUGUCAAUUUGGUUAAACUUGUCGGGUUUUGUUGUGAAGGUGAUAGGAGGCUACUAGUGUAUGAGCACAUGCCAAACCGUUCCCUUGACGUCCAUCUGUUCGAGAGCCAUGGUACCGUUUUGGGUUGGAACAUUAGAUAUCAGAUAGCUCUUGGUGUUGCUAGAGGGCUAGCGUACUUGCAUCAUAGCUGUCGUGACUGCAUAAUACAUUGUGAUAUCAAACCACAAAACAUACUUCUUGAUGCAUCUUUCAUUCCAAAAAUAGCAGAUUUUGGGAUGGCAAAGUUUCUAGGGAGGGAUUUUAGCUGCGUUCUAACUACAAUGAGAGGAACUAUUGGAUACCUUGCUCCUGAAUGGAUUAGCGGAACAGCUAUUACAUCGAAAGUCGAUGUUUACAGCUAUGGGAUGGUUUUGUUGGAGAUUAUAUCAGGAAGGAGGAACGCAGGUAAAGAAGCUUUUGCUGAUGAUGACCAUGCUAAGUGUUUUCCUGUGCAAGUCGUGGACAAGCUUCUCAACGGAGGCAUUGGAAGCCUUGUGGAUGCAAACUUGGAUGGCAAUGUCAACCUAUAUGAUGUUGAAAGAGUCUGCAAAGUUGCAUGUUGGUGCAUUCAGGAUAAUGAAUUUGAUCGCCCUACAAUGGUUGAGGUAGUACAGUUUCUUGAGGGCUUAUCUGAGCCUGAUAUGCCUCCAAUGCCAAGAUUGCUUCAUGCAUUCAGGAUAAUGAAUUUGAUCGCCCUACAAUCUGUUGUUAUAGUAUUAGGCUCUAAGGGGCAGUUUAGAUCAAAAGAUUUUUAUAGAAAAAUUAAAAGAAACAAAAACGCAGGAACACGAGUGGAGCAUAGCGUUUGAAACAAUGGAAAACAAUCUUUCCUUUCCUCUGGAACACUGCACCUCCUUCAAGAUUUCGCAAGAAAGCAAAAAUCUACUUUAACCUCUAGUUUCUAAUUCCUACGCAGAAACCCAGGUGAUUGCACCAUUAAACUCAUUGGAUGGGGUGCAUUACCAUGAAUAAAACACUAUUUAAGAAAACUUAACCGAGAUGCACAAAAAUGAUUAACCGAGGUGGGCAUCCUAUUCGCCUCCGCGCAAAGAUCAUGGUUAAUUUGGUCUUAACGGAGGCAGUUGGUCGCCCGCCAGUUAAUUAAUAAAAAAUAAGAAGAAAACAUGUGGACAGACCCAACGAGCCCAGCCCAUCCACAUGCCGCCGCUUUGCUCGUCGGAUCUGUGCCUCGGAUCUAGCUCCUCACUGGAUUCACUACUACAAAAAAGAUUUACCGUGACCUUUUGAAAACACCCCCCGAGGCGGGCAAAAAUUUCAACCGAGGCGGUUACAUAAACCGCCUCGCAAAAUUGAUUAACCGAGGCGGGCACCCUUAAAAUACCCGUCACGGUUAAUAUAUAUUAACCGAGGCGGACAUCUUAACGUAACCGCCUCGGUAAAUCAUUAACCGAGGCAGGCAUUAUAACUUCACCCGCCUCAGUAAAUCAGGCCCAACCCGCUAGCCCAAGAGGCCCAAUUUCAAGGUCACACAUAUAUACUAGACCUAGGGUUUCACCUUCACUUCCUCCCUCCUCAGCCGCACCCGCACUAUCUCUCCCUGCCGCUCGCGACGCUAGACCCGACCGCCCUCCUCCCCUUCCCCUUCCUCUCCUCGCAAAACCCGACCGCCCUCUUCCCCUCCCCUUCCCUUCGAUUCCCCUCCUCCCCUUCGUCUCCGGUGGCAGAGGCCCUCCCCAACUUCAAAGCGGGGCGGCAUAGCAAGGCACCCUCCUCCUCUCUCUUCGGCGGCCAGGCAUGGGGGGCAGCCGGAUUCGUGGCGGCGCGCCCUCCUCCUCCCUCUCCAGUGGCCAGGCGCGCGGGGGCGGCCGGAUCCACGCCGACGCGCCCCCCUCCUCCCUCUCAAGUGGCCAAGCGCGCGGGGGCGGCUGGAUCCACGACGACGCAUGCCCCUCCUCCCUCUCUGGUGGCCAGGUGCAUGGGGAGGCCGGAUCCGCGACGGCAUGCCCCCUCCUCCCUCUCCGGUGCCCAGGCACGUGGGGCCGCCUGGAUCCAUGACAGCGUGCCCCCUCCUUCCUCUCCGGUGGCCUGGUGCAUAGGGGUCGCCGGAUCCACGGUGGUGCCGCCCCCUCCUCCCUCUCCGGUGGCUAGGCGCACGGGGGCAGUCGGAUCCGCGGUGGAGCGGUCCCCUCCUCCCUCACCAGUGGCCAGGUGUGCGGGGCCUGCUGGAUCUGUGGCGUUCAGGUCCCCUUCUCCCUCUCCUCCGACCUGGCGCGCGAGGGUUGGCCGGAUCUGUCGUGGCGGCGCGUGGGCACUGGGUCUAGGAUUGGGCUCACCGGUGGGCUCGCCAGUGGGCUUUGUUUUUUUAUUUUUUUUGUAACAAUUAUCCGAGGCGGGCGUCCUAACGUGCCCGCCUCGGUUAAUCAAUUUACCGUGGCGGGUACAGGCGACCGCCGCGGUGAGUCUACUAUUAACCGUGACCUUAGAUGCGUGGCGGGUGCCUUUGCCCGCCACGGAAAAUGAAAAACGUCCGCCGUGGUUAAUAAAUUUUGUAGUAGUGAUUCGGGCACCUCCUCGCCGAUCCACCCACCCUAACACCAGAUCCGGCCGCGCCACCACCAUUGGGAGCUAUUCGAGCGCCACCGGUCGUGCGAGCUGCAUGACCACCACCGGCCACACGAGCAGCUUGAGGAGAGGCCAUGUUGAUGAGGGAGGGAGGAAGGGGGGGGGCACGCACCGCCCAGGCGCCGCUGCUGUGGGGAGAGAGAGGGGCAGGCAUCGCCGCUGCGGGGAGAAGGCCGGCGUGUGUGGAGAGAGAGAGAGAGAGAGAGAGAGAGAGAGAGAGGCGAGCACCGCCGUUGUGGGGAAAGGGAGUGGGGGACGUUGUUGUUGUGGGGAAAGGGAGGGGGUGAACCUCAUUGUUUUUGGGGAGGGGGGUGGGAGAGGAUUCAGUGUGUUAGAGAGAGAGAGGAGGUGUCAACGAAAUAUCAUCGGUAGUUCACCAAGGGGUAUACACAUGAUGGUAGAUUGUGUGGUGGAGGUGCGCAUGAUCAAAAUUAGAUGGUAGCACAAGCACAAGAACAUAAGAUUUAGACAGAUUCAGGCUGUCAACUUGACAUAAUACCUUAGUCUUGUGCGUUGGUGGAUUGUGUUAUAUGAGAUAUCUCUAGGAUUAAACCUAAGAUUUGUAUCUGGAUGUUGACUAGAGGAUCCCUACCCCUCCUUAUAUACUCUGGAGGGGUAGGCUUAUAAGGAAAGUUUUCUAAUCGGCUAUAUGGAAGGUGUUCUAUUUGGAUUGCAACAUCUAUAAGAGUCCUAGUAAAUCAUAUCUUCUACGAUCUUGUGGGUUGGACUGUCCGUGAUCGUGCAACCCAUGUCAGAAACAGUUUGAGUUCAGUUUAGUAGUGUUUUUGGAUGCCACAUGCAGACAGAGAUUUAAGCUUCAGUUUAAUAGUAAUUCUUAUGGUAUUAGCUCUGUUAGGAUCGGCAGCUGUUAUAGUAUUAUUUGUGCGCCAAAAAAACUUACUCAUCAAUUAACUCUUGAACUACAGGAAACAAAAACAACCUUUUAAAAAAUCAAUGUCAGUUUGAUGAGAUGCAUGAAUCCAGCUGAGUCUUGCAGAUGCCUAAACAUAGCAUUAAUUCAUCAUUUUUCUUUCUAUAAUGCAUAAUUGUUCAAUUCUUAUUUAGUUUAAAACGUUCGAGAACAAUGCACUAUUAACUCCAUGUAAAAUAUCAUGAGCCCUAGACGUGUGUUGGCCACUUCCAGCCUCCGGCGCCGGCUGCAGCUGUCGCCCAGAGGGCCAUGGCCAUCGCUGGUCACGUCUAGCCGGUCGUGGCCGGCUGCUGGCCACCUUGCGCUGGCGCUCCCUGGCUGCUGCCGGCCAUGGCUGCCUGGCCUUGGUUUUAGGGCUUUGGCUAUGUCUAUUCUUUUUUGUCAUGUACAGAAUUGACCAGCACCACCCAAGUUUAGAUUGAGAUGCGAAGUACCAGGGAGACGACAACGUUGCUUGUGGGCGUUAGGGUGAGUCACGCCUCAUCCUCGAAUCUGCGGGACCGGUUCAUUGGCAGCCGGGGAUGGAAUGACAUAGUGUCGAUAUAGUCAGAGUGCGUGGAUUAGAUGAUGUGUUUGGGGUGGAUGAAGUUGAUGGGAGGCGGCGGAACACAUCUUAUGGGCAACUUUUGAUAUGGCAAGGGUGUUGUGUGAUUGGCCUGAUUUUUAGGGAUGGAUAGGCAUCGUGAUUUCAGGGUUGCAUUUCAGAAACUCGCAUGGGCGCGGGUGAGGGAGAGUGGGAAGCCUCAUCAAACUUUUAAUCUCAGCCGUUGCAUCCGUAGUAGGUAGGUUGUGAGUUGAUCUUGAAAGAAGGAAUUGGCUUGGAAAAGUUUUCAAUUAUAAUAGAGAUAAAAAAAUCUAAAUUUUUUUCAAGAUUAUCCAUCAUAUUAAUUUUACCGCACAUGCAUAGAGCAUUAAAUAUAAAUAAAAAAUAACUAAUUACACAGUUUAUCUAUAAAUCACGAGACGAUUUUUUUAAACUUAGUUAGUCCAUGUAGAUAAUGUUUGUCAAAUAUAAAUAAAAGUGCUAAUCAAAAUUGAAAAAUAUUUUGUAUCUAAACAAGGCUUAGAGCAACUCCAACAGCUUUUCUAUUCCUAUUAUGGAGGCCUUUUAGAAUUUUUAUAGUAGAAAAAUAGACUCCAAUAGAUGUACUAUUUGGUUUUGUAAAAUAGAAAGUUUGCUAUCCUUUUAAUUUUCGUUGGCCAUAUAUAGCCAACCACUGACACUAACUAUCUGAUAGCAAGGCUGUUGUGAACAUCUUCUUUUUUUAAGAAAUUAUCUAUUUUACAAAAUAGCUAAACAUUAGAAUUUAGCUACUAAUUUUAGCCAAGCUCUUGCAGAUGCUCUUACCGUGUGUUUGGUUGGGGGUUGGGUGGGUUGGGUUGGAUCCAACCCAGUUUUUGGGGACGGAGCCAACCCGUCCAGUGUUUGGUUGCACUUCUGAUUUUGGGGACGGAGCCAACCCAUUUUAGUGUUUGGUUGAAGAAUUGGGGACAGAGCGGCUCCGUUCAGUGUUUGGUUGAAGAAAUUUAGUGUUUGGUGGGAGCCAACCCGGCUGGAGCGGCUCCGUCCGCCAGAUUUUGACGGAUGAGUCCAACCCGCAUCUGAGAGAAAUAUUCCACCCUGGAGCCAACCCAACCCUCCUAUCCUCCAACCAAACAGGCACAGAAAUGCUCCAACCAAACAGCCACAGAAAUGGGUUCGCUCCGACCCGACUCGCCCCGCUCUCCAACUAAACACACGGUUACAAUGUCACUCCAAUUGGGACGGACUGUACCCCGUACCCCUUGGGCCCCCUCUUGCGCUUCUCGUCCCACCCGAGCGCGGCGGCGCUCCUUCUGCCUCCCCCAGCGCCGGCUCUACUCCACGCCGGCGUGCCCCCCCUCCUCCAGACCUCCCCACCGGCGCCACCCUACCCUGUCACUCCCUCCUCCGCUGAGUGCAGCAAGUGCUGAUCAGGUGCAUGAAACCCUGUUUCAGUUUGAUGUAUUCGACAGAAUUUUUGCUUGCUAUUUGCGUUGAUUUGCUCCGAUUUGUUCAUUCUGUGAUUGGCUCGGUUAGCUCACUCUCCUUCGAAUCCAGAGCCACUUCUUCACAGUGGGUGGGCGGGAGAUGGUGCUGAAGCGGGCGGCGGCCGAAUGCCCCAAGAAGGUUGCGGGGCUGAUGGAUCUGGUGAACCUGCCCACCCAGUUGCGAGAGUUCGCCGGGGGCCGGUCCCAAAUGUCCCAUAUCUCCUUCUUCCUCCGGGUCUGGUCGUACAUCAAGGACAACAAACUUCAGGUAAUUCUUCUUCCCAUGUAUGGGCCCCUUCGUUUCUUUAUGAAGAAAUCUGUAAUUAGUCGCUAUGAUUGGUGUUAGUUGGGCUCAUUAAUUGUUGCGGCAGGAUUUGGUUGCUUGCUCGUCAGAGUUAAUUUGCGCUGACCUGGGAUAGAACUUGAAUUUGGGGAAAAACAUGAAGUUUUGGCUGAUGGGAAAACAGCAGAUUGGCAGCUCAUGCUGCCAACAUAUUAUGAGAUGAGAGUUCGGUAUAUUAUUAUUGUUAGUAGUAUUAUAUGAAGGAUUAUGUCAUUUCCAAAAUCUAGGUGUUUAAGUUUACAGGUGUGGGAAUUGAUCUGUGCGAUGUCAAAUGACGUUUUGAUAAUUCAGGACUUUUGUCCACUUUGCCACUAUAUGCACAAAAAUGCUUAAUAAUGGUCUUCUGUGUAUUGAUAGCUUAUACUUGGUUAGGAUGAGAACCGUUGACGUUUAGGAUCUUGAUAGCUUAGCAUUGAAGAUUUCAUUCCCUUCAUGCUGCUUGGUAUUCCCAUCUGUUUCCAGAUCGUCCACGUGAACUGACAAUUUAGGUGGCACCGUUAUGUUCAGCGCUUUAAUUUAAUUUGGAGCUGAUAAAGUAGUUAUGUUUCCAUGUUGAACCCCGUUUAUACCUGGUUAUACCCACAAAUAUGCCAAAAAUGGGCAUUUGUAGCACUUCAACAUGUGAUUCGGACAUUCGUAUAUCACUUCCAUGUUUCUAUCUAAUGCCCCUUAGUGGAAACCUUCAAGCAUACUGUAAAAUGUAUUGGUUCAUAGAAAUCCCUCAUAAGAGGCUCCGAACAGUGGUUUAUGUAGCUAAAUAAUUCCAUGCUUAACAUCAAUUGUUCUGCCAUACUCAUGUAUAGUCAGCCCUGGCAUUGCUAAUGUUAGGGGACAGAUCCUCGAACAAGAGGGACCCUUGGAACAUUAGCGGGUUCCACAAGUACUUAUGUUAUUUCUCAAUGACCUGCUUUACAAACCUAUGGGUAGGGGUUGUUUGUAGUUGAUGUGACCUCUCCAUUGUCUACUACUCCUGUCAUGUGGGGCCAGCCGUACGUCAGGCGCCGGCGCAACCGCGACAUCCGCCGAGCUGAGGAACGCGCCGCGCGCGCACAAGAGGAAGAGGUCCAAGCGGGAUUCGAAAUUAGUGGCUAGGAAAUAUUAGUGUUAGCUAUUUUUGGUUAGUCCUAAACUCAAGGAGAGAUUGUUAGUUUCCCUUUCAUGCAAGCCGCAGCUGAGGAACGCGCCGCGCGCGCAAGAGGAAGAGGUCCAAGCGGGAUUCGAAAUCAGUGGCUAGGAAAUAUUAGUGUUAGCUAUUUUUAGUUAGUCCUAAACUUAGUUUCCCUUUCAUGCAAUCCGGAUGGCUAUUUGUAUCCCCAAACAUUCCCGUGAGUGAAUCAAGCAAGAUCAAUCAACCAAACUCUCUCUUCCUCCCUCGAACAUUCUCAAGCCCAGAAGCCGAGAGGGGCAUAACCUCCGCUCUGGAAGACACGGCACGAGACUACGAGCUACGUAGUCGAGGGCCGGCUACCCUAGAUCACCAGGCCCUUGACAACCUGGUAUCCCGAUCCACUCGAUCCUCGGCAUCCUCAGCCGCCGCGCCAUCAUCUCCGACACCAGCAGCUACACCAAACCCAUCGCCCACCCGUUCCACAGCCUCCACCGCAAAUCCCAGUCCACCGCCAUCUCCCACUGCCCCCGCAACCAUCCCAGCCGCCAUGGCUGAACCCACCCUCGCUGAGGUCAUGGACAUGCUCAAGUCCAUGCGCAUGGAGAUGUCCACCCUCAAGUCCGACGUGGCGACCAUGAAGGACAAGUCCUCAUCGUCUUCCGGCGGCGGCGACGAUCGUCGUUCCGAAGGCCCGCGAGAUCAGGACUUCCACCCCAAGCACAAGAAGUGGGAUUUUCCCCGCUAUGACGGCACGACCGAUCCGAUGCUAUUCCUCAACAAAUGUGAGGCCUACUUCCGCCAACAUCGAACCAUGGCGGAGGAACGGGUGUGGAUCGCGUCGUACCACCUCGACGGCAUUGCACAGCUGUGGUUCACGCAGCUCCAAGACGACGACGGCACGCCGACGUGGGGGCGCUUCAAGGACCUCCUGGACCUGCGGUUCGGACCCCCCCUCCGCUCCGCCCCGAUGUUCGAGCUCGCCGAGUGCCGGCGCACCGGGACGGUGGAGGAGUACUCCAACCGUUUCCAGGCUCUCCUACCGCGCGCAGGUCGCCUCGAGGAGGCCCAACGUGUCCAACUCUACACGGGGGGACUCCUUCCGCCGAUUAGCAACGCCGUCCGCAUCCACAACCCCGGUACGUUGGCGGCGGCCAUGAGCCUCGCACGCCAGGUGGAGAUGAUGGAGGCCGAGAGGCUGCCUCCCCACCCCCCUCGGGCGCCCCCGCGCGGUACCCCUCCGGCGCCAGCACCACGACCUGCACUACCGGCGCCACCACCGAUCUUGCAGCUGCCAGCACCUCCGGUGGCCUCUCAGCCGGGUCGGGGCGAGGGAACACAGCGGCGCCUCUCUCCGGAAGAAAUGGCGGAACGCCGCCGCCAAAACCUAUGCUUCAACUGCAACGAGAGGUACAGCCGUGGUCAUAACAGGUUCUGCAAGCGCAUUUUCUUCGUCGAUGGCGUCGAGAUCGACGACAAGCCAGAAGGCGAGGCGGCGGUCACUGCCAUUUCCGGGGAGGUGGAGGCACCAACUUUCUCCCUCCAUGCGGUCGCGGGCGUGGCCAUCGGCAAGACCAUGCAGGUCCGCAUCUCGGUGGGCGCGACGUCCCUCAUCGCCCUCCUGGACACGGGAUCCACUCACAGCUUCAUCGGCGAGGAGGCCGCGCACCGGACCGGCCUGCCGAUCCAACCUCGUCCGCGCUUGACGGCCACGGUCGCCAAUGGCGAGCGCGUGUCAUGUCCAGGCGUCCUCCGCGGCGCCCCGCUGCUCAUCGGCGACUUCCACUCCACCGUCGACCUCUUUGUCAUGCCUCUUGCAGGAUACGACAUCGUCCUAGGGACGGACUGGAUGGCGACCCUAGGACAGCUGGUGUGGGACUUGGUCGCGGGCACCGUCUCGUUCCAGCACGCGGGACACGCCGUGCGCUGGUCCGCCGUGCCGGCCCCUGGCGCCCUCGGCCCCUACACCACCACGGCCAGCGACUCGCUCCUGGAGGAGCUUUUGGCGCAGUUCGACACCGUCUUCGCCGAGCCGACCGGCCUGCCUCCUCCCCGAGGACGCGAACACGCCAUCACACUCAAGCCGGGCGCGCAGCCGGUCACGGUCCAGCCGUACCGAUACCCGGCGGCCCACAAAGAUGAGCUCGAACGCCAAUGAGCCGCGAUGAUGGCGCAGGGCAUCGUCCGCCGCAGCGACUCGGCGUUCUCAUCUCCGGUCCUCCUCGUCAAGAAGGCGGACGGCGCAUGGCGUUUCUGCGUCGACUACAGGGCGUUGAACGCGCUCACGGUCAAGGAUGCGUUCCCCAUCCCCGUCGUGGACGAGCUGCUCGACGAGCUCCACGGCGCGCGUUUCUUCACCAAGCUGGACCUGCGUUCGGGGUACCACCAGGUCCGCAUGCGCCCGGAGGACGUACACAAGACGGCGUUCCGCACACAUGACGGACUCUACGAGUUCCUCGUCAUGCCGUUCGGCCUCUGCAACGCGCCAGCGACAUUCCAGUCCUUGAUGAACGACGUCCUUCGCCCAUACUUACGUCGGUUCGUCCUUGUUUUCUUUAAUGACAUCCUAAUAUACAGUCACACUUGGGCGGACCACCUGCGACACAUCCGUGUCGUCCUCUCCGAACUGGCGCGCCACCACCUCUUCGUCAAGCGCUCCAAGUGCUCCUUCGGCGCAUCCUCGGUCGGGUACCUGGGGCACGUCAUCUCGGCGUCCGGCGUCGCCAUGGACCCGGCCAAGGUCCAAGCUAUCCGCGACUGGCCGGUUCCCCGGUCGGCACGGGCGGUGCGCGGCUUCCUUGGCUUGGCCGGCUACUACAGGAAGUUCGUCCACAACUACGGCACCGUGGCUGCCCCGCUCACGGCGCUCCUGAAAAAAGAGGGGUUCGCCUGGACUGAUGCGGCAGCCGCCGCGUUCUGCGCCCUCAAGGAAGCUGUGACGACCGCCCCGAUACUCACGUUGCCGGACUUCACCAAGCCGUUUGUCGUCGAGUGCGACGCCUCCUCCUACGGGUUUGGGGCCGUGCUCAUCCAAGAGGGCCACCCCAUCGCGUUCUUCAGCCGGCCAGUGGCGCCCCGACAUCGCUCCCUCGCGGCGUACGAGCGAGAGCUCAUCGGGCUCGUCCUUGCGGUGCGCCAUUGGCGGCCAUAUUUGUGGGGCCGCGGCUUCGUCGUCAAGACGGACCACUACAGUUUGAAGUACCUCCUCGACCAACGCCUCGCCACAAUUCCGCAACACCACUGGGUGGGGAAACUCCUGGGCUUCGACUUCACCGUCGAAUACAAGUCCGGUGCGACGAACACGGUGGCUGAUGCCCUCUCACGGAGGGACACCGAGGAGGCCAAGCAGGGCGCGGUCUUGGCGGUUUCCGGACCCCGCUUCGAUUUCAUCAGUCGGCUCCGCCAUGCUCAAGCCACGGACCCGGCGCUGGUGGCUGUCCAUGAUGAGAUCACCGCCGGGACGCGCACCGCGCCGUGGGCGAUCACCGACGGCCUCGUCGCCUACGACGGUCGACUCUACAUCCCACCAUCUUCACCACUGCUGCAGGAGAUUGUGUCCGCAGUGCACGCCGACGGCCAUGAGGGCGUCCAGCGUACUUGGCACCGCCUUCGCCGCGACUUCCACUUCCCCAACAUGCGCAUCGUGGUGCAGGACUUUGUGCGGGAGUGCGCCACAUGCCAAAGGUACAAGUCGGAACAUCUACACCCGACAGGCUUGCUCAUGCCCCUGCCCGUCCCUACCAUCGUCUGGGCGGAUAUCGGCCUCGACUUCAUUGAAGCACUGCCCCGCGUCGAUGGCAAAUCGGUCAUCCUCUCCGUCGUCGACCGCUUCAGCAAGUACUGCCACUUCAUCGCCCUCGGCCACCCGUACACCGCCGAGUCUGUGGCACAAGCGUUCUUCGCCGACAUCGUGCGUCUUCAUGGGCUGCCUCAGUCCAUCGUCUCCGACCGCGAUCCGGUCUUCACCUCCACCUUUUGGCGCGAGCUCAUGCGCCUCAUGGGGACGAAGCUGCACAUGACCACUGCGUUCCACCCGCAGUCGGAUGGCCAAACCGAGGCGGCCAACAAGGUGAUCGUGAUGUAUUUGAGGUGCUUUACAGGUGACCGUCCCCGCCAGUGGCUCCGGUGGCUACCUUGGGCCGAGUACGUCUACAACACCGCGUACCAGUCCUCGCUCCGCGAGACUCCGUUUCGGGUGGUCUACGGCCGCGACCCGCCAUCCAUUCGCUCUUAUGAGCUCGGCGAGACGCGAGUCGCUGUCGUAGCCCGGGACAUGGAGGAACGUGACGCCUUCCUCGCCGACGUCCGCCAUCGUCUGGAGCAAGCCCAAGCGGUGCAAAAGAAACAUUACGACAAGCAUCACCGGCAGGUGGCGUAUGCCGUCGGUGACUGGGCACUUCUCCGCCUCCGACACCGCGCAGCCGCCUCCAUGCAGCGGGCGUCCUCGGGCAAACUCAAGGCGCGAUUCCUCGGGCCGUACCGCAUCACCGAAGUCAUCAACGCUGUCGCCGUUCGCUUGGAGCUCCCUCCCCAGGCACGCCUCCACGACGUGUUCCAUGUGGGCACACUGAAGAAGUUCGUGGGCACGCCUCCUGCAUCACCUCCACCGCUCCCCGACAUCAAGCAUGGCGCGGUUGUACCAGCUCCGGAGCGCGUCACUCAAGCUCGCCUCGCCCGCGGCGUUCGCCAAGUGCUGGUCUUUUGGAGGGGGGAACCGCCCUCGUCUGCCACAUGGGAGGACCUCGACGAUUUCCGCGCCACAUAUCCAGACUUUCAGCUCGAGGACGAGCUGGCUCUCCAGGGGGAGAGAUGUCAUGUGGGGCCAGCCGUACGUCAGGCGCCGGCGCAACUGCGACAUCCGCCGAGCUGAGGAACGCGCCGCGCGCGCACAAGAGGAAGAGGUCCAAGCGGGAUUCGAAAUUAGUGGCUAGGAAAUAUUAGUGUUAGCUAUUUUUGGUUAGUCCUAAACUCAAGGAGAGAUUGUUAGUUUCCCUUUCAUGCAAGCCGCAGCUGAGGAACGCGCCGCGCGCGCAAGAGGAAGAGGUCCAAGCGGGAUUCGAAAUCAGUGGCUAGGAAAUAUUAGUGUUAGCUAUUUUUAGUUAGUCCUAAACUUAGUUUCCCUUUCAUGCAAUCCGGAUGGCUAUUUGUAUCCCCAAACAUUCCCGUGAGUGAAUCAAGCAAGAUCAAUCAACCAAACUCUCUCUUCCUCCCUCGAACAUUCUCAAGCCCAGAAGCCGAGAGGGGCAUAACCUUCGCUCUGGAAGACACGGCACGAGACUACGAGCUACGUAGUCGAGGGCCGGCUACCCUAGAUCACCAGGCCCUUGACAACUCCCCCCGUUCCAAAUUAUAGAUUCAUUGCUUUUAUUAUUUUUUUCCACAACAGCAAAGCCAAAUUUCAUUACUAUCAAGCAGCAAAAUUACAUGAGUUUGUUUCGUAACCACAGAAAGUAAAAACCAUAACAGCGCAAAAUUACCACACUGGAAUGAACACAUUAGGUUCAUCCAGUUGGCACUCCCCCCUGAACUACGAUCACCCAAUAGUGUUAACGUCAGGCAUUUAAUGCAACCUCCCCCAAAACAAUCCCAGCUAAACACUAAAUGCCCCAGGUGGCAAAAAGUUUCAGCAGCACACACGCUGCGAGCAGGUUCCAGCAAAAACAACUUUUCAUGCGCCUUGGUUCAAGAUCUUCAGACAAUCGCCAUCUGGUUGUCUCCCCCAUCCAUCCACUCAUGAUGAUGAAAACGGAGCGUCGCCUUCUGGAAAACUUCCACGCCAUACUCCAUCUGCGUUGACAUCGCAUCCUUCUGCGAACCUGCUCAAUAUGAUAGUGUAGAGCAUAUCAGACAUAUGAGUUCAGUAGGCGUCUUGAUUCUUUUCCCUUAAAAAACAAACAUUGUUUCUUGUCUUCCAAGUUGCCCAAUACUUGUAUACCCCCUGGUAAGCACCAGUUAAUCCAUAUCCAGAACUGAGCAAAUGAAUUAGGUCUCACAGUAACCCCAAAAACUUAUUCCAAGAUACUCCAUACAUAUUUGACCACAGGGCACUCAAACAUCAGGUGCUUAAUGGAUUCUUCUUUCUGACAAAAGGCACACGCAAGGUUACCUUUCCAUUUUCUCUUUAGUAAGUUGUCCUUAGUUAGAAUAGCAUUUUGAAAGGUUAAUCACCUAAGAAUUUUCAGUUUUAGCGGCAAUUUAGCCUUCCAAAGUUGUCUGUUCUCUCCUGCACAGUUCCUGAACAAAUGUUUAUGUACUGACUUGACAGAGAAGAUUCCAGAUUUCUCCCUCAUUGCUUGUAUUAUGUACCUAGAUAUACAAUGUGUCUAGAUACGGAGUGAAAACUAUGUAUCUAGAAAUGCCAAAACAUCUUAUGAUUUGGAACAGCUACUGUCGAAAGGUAUGCUAUUGUCUUUUCUUGCUCCUAGCCCAGGUCAUCAUCCUCUACACUGUAGUAUUUUUUCUCGAAAAAUGCAGGAGAGCUGCGCUUCAUUAUAUUAAGGCCUUGUUUAGUUCCCAAAAUUUUUCAAGAUUCCCUGUCACAUUGAAUCUUGCGGCACAUGCAUAAAGCAUUAAAUAUAGAUAAAAAAGAUAACUAAUUACACAGUUUACCUGUAAUUUGCGAGACGAAUCUUUUGAGUCUAGUUAGUCUAUAAUUAAAUAAUAAUUGUCAAAUAAAACCGAAAUGCUACAGUAGCGAAACCCAAAAUUUUUCGCUACCACCGUGACUGGAAAUAGCCUGAGAUGGUCUCUGCAGAAACAGAGGAAGAAAACUCCAAAUCUCCACUGGUAGAGAAGAUGACCACGUGCAGCGUGCAGGGAUGAAGAGCCACGGGCGGAAGAGGACAGGGCAUGCAGGAAGACGACUCCUGCGGGCGCUCCAAAUCUCCACGGGCAGGGCACGCGCAGGGCACGCGGGAAGACGACACCCGCGGGCGGACGACGACCCCACGCGCAAUGCGUCCCCCCACGAGAGCGGACAGCUCCGCGACGACGAGUCGCGAAGGCGCGAAGGUGGAGACGAGACGCGAAGGCGCGAAGGUGAAGACACGGUGGUGAUGUGCCGACCCCCGUGAAAACAGAGGAAACGCGAUGGGCGGCAGACGGCGGCACACGCGAUGGGCUUGCGACGACCGGAAAAAAAAAUGGAUCUUGGGGGUGAUUAGGGAUCAGAUUAGCCCUAAUUCGACCCCUAAACCAUGCUUUGGUACCAUGUUACUAACCUUUGGAAUAACGAAGUACAAGCCCUCCAGAGAUGGAGUCAUACAUAUAUAUAGAGAGCCCCCUGGCUAUAUAUAGAUAGAGCCGGCUAUAUAUAGAGCGGCUAUAUAUAGAUAGAGCCUAUAGAUAGGCCUAUGGACUAGAUCUGCAUCAUAUACUUAACAUAAACAAGGCCUAAGAAGAAAGAUGGGUUAAGAACCCUUUACAACACACACCACACACCACACUUUUUGACUGAUUACAUUCGCGCUCGUGAACUAGUUGUCAAGGCGACCGAAACCAUACAUGCUAACCAUCAGGGAGUGGGGCAGUCAGGAAGGACAGCCCCCGAGCACCUGCCAUACACCAUAACCGGCGCUCCUCCCCUGCAGUGACCAAGGCCCUGGUGAUGCUAGGUGUUACCCCAUCAAAAACACACUGGUUUUGGUGAUUCCACAAUGUCCAGGCCCCAAGGUUAUUAGCGAAUUUAGCCCUUUCUUCAUCUCACCAUUCACAGCAGAACUUGGUCUUCUCCCGAGGCGGGCUCCCUUCUAAGGCCCAACUUCAUCAUAAGGGUCUCCACCCUUUGAUCCAAAAGCUGACUCUAUGUUGGCCUCUGGAUUUCUCCUUUCGUCACCUCUUUUGAAAGGUCCACCCUUCUACUGGUUCCUUUCUUCCGCGCACGUUGGGGAGUACCUUUGGAACCUUGUCCAACCAGUCUUUUUGGUCUGCUUUCUAAUGGCUCAUCUCAUUGGCUUGCUUCAUUGGUUGCCCUAGGAAGAUGGAGGCGACCCACUUUCCGAUUGGCUAAUAGCCAACAAACUACAAAUCAAAUCUCCUAAGGAGUAGUUAACAAGGCAACAAUUCAAACACAUCCAAGCUGAUGAUAACCAGGAGUGGACGAUGAUGCCGAUGGCUUCGUUCCUUGCAUGUAUUUCUUCCCAUGAAAGUGUCCUCGACCUAUCUAUCAAAGCUGUGUGCAAAUAGAUGAUAGUUGACACGAUAGCAACAGUUCCACCCCUGGCAGCAAGAAGGUGAGCGAGUGGCCUAGAUUUGGGGCUAGGGUUGUAUCUGCAUAUGAUCUACACAAACAAGAGAUAGAUUCACCAACACAUCAUAUUAAACAAGCAAGACAAAAGAACAGGGUGCAUGGUGCUGUAGGAGGUUGCUCAUUCGUUUCUGACUAGUGGUGCAGAGGCACACCAACAUAUGGGUUUAGGGUGAUGAUGCGCUUCGAGGUGGAGCACAGCCGCGGGGUGAGGUGAUGCUGGCGAUGGCUGCGCUGCUGCUUCAGACAUGUCGAGUGGUAACAAAGAUGGAAGUGAGCGCAACACAUGUCUGCACGAGCAAAAUGUUAGGUCCAGUUCUCCGCGCUAGGUCCAGAUCUCAGCGACACAGAAAGUUGUGGGCGUAUGUGGUCGAGCGUGGAGGUGCGUAGCGCACAUGUGGGAGCUGAACGGUGGGCUGUUCCUUUUACCAUGUAACGUAAAGCCCAAGCCAACUGAAAAAUCAGUCCAGGCUCAUGAAAAUGACUGCAGAAAUAAUCCUUGGUUUGGUCCGUCCUCCACUUGUCUUGCCUCUUCUAGAGCUAUAACAGGACUAGGAGAAAGUCUAUUUGUUUUAAUAUAAAUAUUAGGUAUAGAUUGUCCAUAUGGUUUUGUGUAGUUCUGAGAAUGGGAGCUUUAUUUUGGCACGACGCAUGAAGCCUAUUUUCAUUUUACCACUCAACAUUUUUUUUUCAUUUUGGCCAUUGUUUUAUUAGAAAUUAUUUUUCCCCACAUUGGCCAAAUAUUACAUGCUAGUGAUCUAGUGUAUGUCAGAAUACUAGUGCACCGUCUUGACCAAACUGUUUGUGUUUUCCACUGGUUCUUUUGGUGACUACUGUUGUAGUUGGGCACUGGCUAAACUGGUACGAGGAAAAACUGACAAGCAACUCUUUCCUUCUGUACCUUCCUGACCACAUGGCCGUGCAGAUAGUGUAUUAAUAAUAACUCUGAAAGGCCUUCCCUCAGCAUGAAUCUAUGCAGAAAGUGGAAAACACCACUUAGGAUUCACUUCUGUGAAAACCAUACUAGCAAUCAGUUGUCAGUUAUUGUGAUCCGCUUGGGUCACAAUCAAACAGAUUAGAUGAAGGAAACUGAAAGAAUAAGCUGCUGCUUCUACUGUAACAUGACCUGCUAUCAAUCGGCUGCCACUCGUACCUAUCUGUGUGAAAAUGAAGAACAGUGUCUGAUUUUUGUUACAGAAACAAAAAAUUCUAUUAUGUGGCUUCAUCAUGAUUUUCUUUUGAGAUGGUAAUAACUAUCCUGAUUUGCAGGACCCGACGAAUAGGAACAUUGUGAAAUGUGAUGAGAAGCUGAAGACUGUAUUAUUGGGCAAGUCCAAAGUGGAGCUCUCUGAACUCCCAAUGAUCGUUAAGCUUCAUUUCCCAAGAUUUCCAAGGUAGUGACAACAUGGUAUUGUAUAUUGAAAUUUUGUGGGAACUUGAUGGGAUAGACAAAAUCAUAUAUAUGUAUUGUUUUGCUGAAAUUUCCAUUAAUCGGCUGUAUGUAGUGGCACGAACGAUACAUUGAGUUCGUUGCUUGUCUUUUUGAAAGCGCACGUUUGCCCAGUCACCCAGCCUUAGCCUCGCCGGUCACACUCCGCCGCCCCUCUGCGAGAGUGGAUUUUUCACAUAGGUGGUGGUGGCGUGGUCCAGGGGAGUAGGAUCAGCCUUUUUAGUUUUCUGAGUCAGCAUUGUUGAUCCUUCUAUCGGUAAUCGUGACUUUCAGCUUGACUACUUUCUGUAAGGUCUCGUUUAGGCCUUGUUUAGAUCACCCCAAAACCAAUUUUUUUUUUUUUUUUAAGAUCCCCUGUCACAUCAAAUUUUUUGGCAUAUGCAUAAAGCAUUAAAUAUAGACGAACAUAAAAACUAACUGCACAGUUUAACUGUAAAUCGUGAUACGAAUCUUUUGAUCCUAGUUAGUCCAUGAUUGAACAAUAUUUGCCACAAACAAACGAAAGUGCUAUAGUAGUGAAAUCCAAAAUCUUUUCGCAUCUAAACAAGGCCUUAGUUCACAUUAAAAUCCAAAACUUUUUAAGAUUUUCUAUCACAUUAAAUUUUGCAGCAUAUAUAUAGAAUAUUAAAUAUAGAUAAAAAAAAUAAAUAAUUGCAUAGUUUGUCUGUAAUUUGUGAGAUGAAAUUUUUUAGCAUAGUUAAUUUAUGGGUAGACAAUAAUUGUCGAAUAAAAACGAAAAUACUAUAGUACCAAAAUCCAAAAGGUUUUUGAUCUAAACAAUUACUUACUCUCUCCGUCUCACAAAUAAAUUCAUUUCUUUGACCGUUACGAUUCAUAUUUGACCAUUCAUCUUAUUUAAAUUUUUUGUUCAAAUAAUAAAAUAAAUACAUCAUUAUAAAAAUAUAUCUAACAAUAAAAUAAGUUAUGAAAAAAUAAAUAAUAUUUAUUAAAUUUUUUUAAAUAAGAUGAAUAAUCAAAUAUGAAUCAUAGAAGUCAAAAAAAUACAAUUAUUUGUGGGAUGGAGGGAGUAGCUGCUUGCACAUAGUGUACACUCUUACUUAAAAUAAUGGAUCGUCAGCCUGCUGCAGCCUCUGAUGUGAUCCUUGUUCGCUUGAGUAGCCAACAGUACAUUCUCCCACGGCUUAUGAGCCAAACAAACCACAAAUCACAUGAUUGAACGCCGGCAGGGAGUCGGGACCGUGGAAUCUUCAGGCAUCUUGACGAAAGCCCUUUGGCACGCAGCCGCCAUUGCAGACCAAAGAGGAAAGAAAUCUUCCAGCCAGGGUAUGCUGGUCCAACUCAACGAUUCUGUAGCUGCGCCGUGCAUCGACUGGCGUUUCCAAACCAUCCAACGCCAAAUUUCGCAAGCAUGCAUACUCCCUGUGCUAACAAGGCUCCAAUUCUAGCACUAAUUCCGCUAUGCCUCUCUCCCUACUACCCUUUGUGUUCAUCUUCUUCCCGCUCAGCAUCCUGGAAGUGCACUCAUCUGCUUCAGCUCCUGCUCCUGGAAGGGACACCAACACCAUGUUGCCUGGCCAAACGCUUGCCGGCAGCGACAAGCUCGUCUGCAGCACCGGCAAGUACGCGCUUGGCUUCUUCCAAUCCCAAACCCGAACCAGCGGUAACUCCAGCUGCUGCUACUACCUGGGCAUAUGGAUCAACAGAGUCCCCACCAUAACUCCCGUGUGGGUCGCAAACGAGGACGAUCCGAUCGCUGAUCUCACCACGGCGGUGCUCACAAUGUCCCCGGCGGACGGCAACCUUACCGUCCUGAACCGCACCACCAAAUCCAUCAUCUGGUCCACGUCCACCCAAGCCAACACCACAACCAACGGCACGAUCGCGACGCUGACAGACGGUGGGAACCUCGUCGUGCGGAGAUCUUGGAGCCCCUCCGGCGACGUCCUGUGGCAAAGCUUCGACCACCCGACGAAUAGCCUCCUCCCCGGCGCGAAGCUCGGCAGGGACAAGGUCACCGGCCUCAACCGCCGUCUUGUCUCCAGGAAGAACUCGGCUGACCAGGCUCCUGGCGCCUACGCGUUGGAGCUGGACCCGACUGGUGCUGCUCAGUUCAUCCUCGUUGAGCAGAAUUCCGGAGUGACGUAUUGGUCAAGCGGCGAAUGGAACGGCCGAUUCUUCGACGCUAUACCAGAUAUGGGUGCCUAUUCUGAAUUCGUCGACAACAACAGAGAGGUGUAUCUUGUGACCCCCUUGCGAGAUGACAACAUGGUCAUGCGCCUUUCGCUGGAGGUUUCUGGUCAACUCAAGGCGUUCAUAUGGUACGAGCAGUUGCAGGAUUGGGUAAUUUCUGCUGUCCAGCCGAAAUCUCAGUGUGAUGUCUAUGCAGUCUGUGGAUCUUAUUCAGUUUGCAACGACAAUGUAAGCCCCUCUUGCGACUGUAUGAAGGGCUUCUCCAUCAAGUCGCUUGAGGAUUGGGAGCUACUAGAGGAUCGAAGAGGAGGGUGCAUCAGGAAUUCUCCAUUGGAUUGCAGUGACAAGAAAACAACAGAUGGAUUCUACUCCGUUCCAUGCUCCGGAAUGCCCUCGAAUGCUCAGAGCUUAACUGUUGUUACUAAUGAAGGUGAGUGUGCAAAGGUUUGCUUAAGUAAUUGCUCAUGCACUGCAUAUUCCUUCAGUGAUGACCAUGGCUGCUAUGUCUGGCACGAUGAACUGUUUAAUGUCAGGCAACAACAGUAUAGUGACCUUACUACUACGA
rnacentral:lncRNA from 1 species